rnacentral:lncRNA from 1 species
UGUGUUUGGCCUGGGUAAUUCACAUAAUUUCUUUGAAGUGGUUGGUGAUGCCCCCACCACCAUUCUCAACUAGGAGAGACUUUUGAGUUCAGUCAGCUAGAUGAUGCAAUCACAAUCAUAACAUUGUUUUAUGAGAGUGCGCUUGUUGAAGUUAUAUGUUACAACUCAAUUUAAGAUGUUGAUGUCCCUAGCAAACUAAGUGUUUUCUUAGGUCAACUUUGUGCUUAGCACUUUGGCAUUGUUUUUACAUGAUAGAAGAUUCCUCCAACUUGCUCGCCCUGGGACUUUGAACUCACAAUUUCUUUGAAAAGAUUGGUGAUGUCCCAUCAUUAUUCUCAACUUGGACAGCCUUUGAAAUCCUUUACAUGCUUUCCAUUUUGUAGACAAAGUCCAUACAUCUAUGCAUACUUUGUUUGUUCUGCAGUAUUUAAUUAUGCAUAUUUCUAGUUAUCAAGGUUUUAGAUGCCAGUACUAAACUCCAUACUGUUUUUCUAUGUAUUGUGCCAAACUGGUACUUAACUUAGACAGGAAGAUGGACAGCUUUUGAAAUGUUUUGCAUGCUUUCCAUUUUGCAGCCAAAGUUCAUACAUCUCUGCAUACUAUGUCCAUUCUGCAGUAUUUAGUUACACAGAUUUCUAAAUUAUCAAGGUUUUAAAUACCGAUACUGAAGUUCAUUCUAUUUUCCUGGGUAUUGUACCAUACCACUACCAGCUGUAUGUACCGAAGCUGUCAGCUUUCAAAAAAUUGAAAAACCAUUGAUAUUAACCAAUACGAUUGUAUGGUACUGCUAAUACUGAGCGGUAUGGCCAGUAUGUACUGGUAUGUCUAUUUCGAUAUCCCGACACCCAUACCGGUGCCAGUUUUGUGCCAGAAAGGUAUGGUACCAGCCGUACUGUCUCGUUUCAGUGGUUUUUUGAAACCACAUAGUUAUGAUAGGUAGGAUAUGUAUAUCUAAUGCAUUAUGAGUUUUCAAUUGACCAUGAUUGCAAUAUGCUUUUGAAGGAAGACUACAAGUAGAUGCACAAAAAAAAUGUUCUAUCAUAAGUUUUCGGUUUACUUUGCCUUAUUUUUUUUUAAGAAAAGACAGCAUAUUUUGUAGUCCAAAUACUAUAUUCUAGGUCACAGCUGGUGUAGCAUCAUACUAGUGAGGUAUCACUAAUUGUAGAUUUUGAUGGAUACUUAUUGAUAUGAUAUAAGAUGACAAGAAUCAAAUCAAAUCUGUUAGAUGGAAAAAAGAAUUCAUGGAAUAGAUGGCAAUUAAUGUAGGCUUACCAAAGUUGGAGCCUGCCUUUUCAAAUAUCAGUUUCAAGUGCUUGGAGCUUACUUAACUAGUAAUAGCUGUUCUGAAACAAAUUAAAAGGUGAGUUUAUGUUUCAGAUUCCAAUUGCUCCGCUGCAGAGAGGUGCUGAGAUCCCUCCAGUUUUCAAUUAUACGAGGAUGAACUCCUCUCAUGGGCAUUUGGAUGCUCCCCUUGAAAAGGGAAUUCCCACAUUGAUUACAUGGAACUAUGGUGGAAAUGAUGUUGCUGUGGAAGGGUCAUGGGAUAACUGGAGCUCAAGGUAAAUGCUGUUAGAGAAGUAACGGUCUGUGCUCAUCAUCACUUCCAUUUAUUUUUCCAGAGUAAUCUGGUGUGUGAAUAAUCAGAAAGAACAGAAAUUCCAAGACCUACUGUAUUUUACAUGCGAGAAUUUCUCAGGAAGGUGUUACAGAGGUCAGGCAAAGAUCACUGCAUCCUGUUGGUCCUCCCAUCUGGGGUCUAUCAGUACAAGUUCAUUGUUGAUGGUGAAUGGAGGCACAUUCCUGAUCUUCCUUGCAUGACUGAUGACAUGGGGCAAACGGUUAAUCUUCUUGAUGUCCAUGUCAGCAUUCAUCGUUUUUUUUUUCAUGUGCUCUUAUAAGCAAGGACGAACAUAUUGGUAAAUUGACCAGCAUCUCAUCAACCUUUGUCCCUCUUAUUCCAGGACUAUGUUCCAGAAAAUCUGGAAAGUGUUUCUGAAUUCGAGGCACCACCAUCACCAAACUCCAGCUAUGGUUGGUCAUUUCCUGUGGAUGAGGACUUUGCAAAAGAGCCACCAGCCCUUCCCCCCCAGAUGCAUGUUACAGUCCUUGGCCCCCAGAGCAACGAGGAUUCUCCAAAAAAGCCUCAGCAUGUUCUUCUCGACCACCUCUUCAUCGAGAAAGGAUGGGCUUCGCAGUCGCUGGUUUCCCUUGGCCUGACCCACAGGUUUCACUCCAAGUAUGUGACUGUCGUCCUCUACAAACCUAUGAGAAGGCAGUAGAAACAUCAGCAAAAAAUUUCUGAGGUUACAGAAACAGCUGCCACCCUCCCCUCUGUAAAUAAGGGUGCUGCAGCUGCUGUAGGUUUAAGGUGCUUCUGUGCUAGUGCUGUGAACCCUUUACUUUUAUAAUAAGCUCGUCUCAGGAUUAUGUUAUAUUUUUUGAGCUUUUUAUCACUCGGCAAGUUCCCGUUUACUAUAUAACCUUUCUAAGUUCUAACAUGACGAGUUCAUGUUGGAUUGUAGAUGGCCGCAUGGAAUUGCUGGUCUCUCAUUGUGUCUGCCUAGCAAUGGCAAGGUACUCGCUCUGUCUAUAUGGAAGUUGGCCUUGUUGCAUAUCUGUGGCUCUGUAAUGAUUAAUGGUAGAAUGAGCUAAGAGGCAUGACAGUAGUCGUUGUUCACUGCUAAUCGCUAUCGCGUCCCAUAAGCUUAGAUGGGAAGAAGAUGGUUUUAGCAACACAGUUGUAGCCACAUGAAGCCAUUGAUAUUAUUAAAUAGGUUUCCAUUCCUUUGUGUACUUCUUCCACCAUUUGCAAACCAAAGCCUUGAGAAGGAAGAAAUGGAUCCGAGUUGUGCAUGGCCAAUUAAUCAAUUGCAGGAAUGUUGAGGUCUUGAGCAUUGCUGGAUCUGAGAGAUUGUUGUGAUAAUUUUUCCUUCAUCCAAAGUCUAUUUGCUUUUUACAUGCUGGUGGGGGCUUCGAUCCCAUCUCAGAUAGCUCUAGCUUCAGCUACUUGGUCUGUUUGUAGGAUGGUGCAACCCAGAACCUCCCCAUUAUUCCCAUAUGUUGGUCAUCAAUAUUUAUUAUUUUCGAGCAGAACUAUGCAAUCAUGGAUCCUGGAUAGGUUCCAAGCCACCCCUCCUUACUCAAAACACACAGAGACUUUAAUGUUAACAGUUCAGAGCAUUAUCAUGAAGCUGGGAGAGAGCCCCAAAAAAGAGAACUCGAAGAAGAAAGCCAGACCUUUCCACGGGCACGAGACUCCCAUUAUUUAGGAACCUAUGGAAGCUUUUAACCGAGAACACUCCGGUUGAAUCCCAUCUCCCCUGCGGCAAAGGUUUCCAUGGCACCUCCUCUACCCUAAGCAUUGCCAGAAGUUGUUCUACCUCAGCUAGGCUGCUAGAGUCCGAAGGCACUGUGAACAUGGGAGUACGUUUCACUUAAAAUGUUGUCAUCGACUCUCCCUUCCUUCUUCACCUUUCGGCAAAAUAAAAGCUUCCAGCUCAAUGGUCAAGCCAGAAUUGAGCUUAUUUUCUCCUCUUUAAACUUUUUUUCGGAAGGCUGGAGCCACCUAGAGGACUCCUUUCCGGGUAUUUGGAGUUCUCAUGGCUGAGCAGGCCCAGUGAAAUAACAUUCCAAGUAUUUGUGUCCAACAUUGUUAUCCCUUUAUCUUCCCUGAGGUUAGUAGAGCAGCUCAUAAGGGAUUUCAUCUGGGGGAGGAGUGGGAGCCACCUAGUGGCAUAGGAGGUGGUUUGUCAGCCGAUUCGGCACGGUGGCUUGGGGGUGCCUUCGUUGGUGGCGAAACGGGAGGCGUCUGUUAUGCAGCUGGCAGCUAGUUUCAUGUUGGAGCCCGAGAACUUAUGGUCCUCCUUGAUGAGGGCUAAGUAUGGUGCACUGACGGUUGGUGGUAGGGCAGGGCGGCUCCAUUCUCCUAUCUGGAAGGAGAUUUGUGCUAGAGCUCCAUUGGUGCUUCCGGUGAUCCGGUGGGCCAUAGGGGACGGGCUGUCGGUGGAUGUCCUCAAGGAUAGCUGGGCGACUGAUCUACCGAAUAGCAGACUACCAACCAUCGUGGAUUCGGGCAGACUGUCGGGGCACAGGGUCUGUGGCUUGCUUAUCCCAGGAGAGGGGAGAUGGGAUGUGGAUCUGAUACGGAAGGCCUUUGGGGAGCAGUUGGUGGAGAGGAUUUUGGCUUUACCGAUACCGACCCAGGAAGAGCCAGAUAGAUUGGUAUGGUUGCCGACAGGUCGGACGAGGGUACGGGCCAGAGAUAUUCACGCUUGGGCCAGUAGGGAGCCCGAUAGGCGGAUUGACGGUGGUUGGAUAUGGAGGAUGAGGGUGCAUCCCAGGGUGGCGCUCUUUCUUUGGAAGGUGGCCUGGGGCUACCUUCCGACCAGGAGUGUGUUGGCUAGGCGGGGGAUGAGGUUGGAUCUACUUUGCGAGAGAUGCCUGGAUGCUGAGGANNNNNNNNNNNNNNNNNNNNUACCUUCCGACCAGGAGUGUGUUGGCUAGGCGGGGGAUGAGGUUGGAUCUACUUUGCGAGAGAUGCCUGGAUGCUGAGGAGACUAUUAGCCAUGUACUGUUUCGAUGCCCUAUUGAUGUGCAGUGUUGGAGACGUGCAUCUGCGCUGCUCCCUCCGCUGUGGGAGACGCUGGAGGAUAUGCUUCGGUACCUGCAUGAGUCUACUAGGAGGCCGAGUUCUGCUGAGACAGGUACUAUAGUGACUUACUUAGCCUAUCAUAUUUGGCUGGACAGGAACGAUCGCGUGUUCGAGGGCGGACGAUCGUUCCCUCGAGUUGUGAUUGAGAGAGCCCUACGGCAGGCGGCGGAGGUAUCUAUGAUGGCCUCAUCGAAUCCACCCGAGAGGGCCAGGGAUAUCUGGGGUACCUGUAUUGCUGUUUCAGCAUUCAGGUUUAGCUACUUUUCUUGGGUACCCCCACCCCCUGGUUAUCUUAAGGUGAAUUUCGAUGGUGGCAUGGCAGAGAAUGGCGCCUCUGGGGGCGUGGGCUUUGUGAUUAGGGAUCAUGUAGGCGGUCUUGUGGCUGCUGGAGGACGGAGUACACCUGGUACGACUGUCGUGGGAGCGGAGGUGCGGGCAGCCUGGGAGGGCAUUUUGUAUGCGAGACGGGUGUUGGGGGCCGAUUGCCUCUGCCUUGAGGGUGACUCUUCCACGGUGAUUGAUUGAAUACGAGGUGUCGAUACAUAUGGAGAUGGCCAUCCCCUGAUACGGGACAUGCGUAGAUUGGUGCGGGAGCUGACUUUCUAUCAGAUAUCUCAUGUAUAUCGGAAGGCGAACAGUGCAGCAGACUGGGUCCUAUGUUGCCCGGCACUCUAGGGAGUUUCUUUGGACUAGCUUAGAGUGCAUCCCACACUCCUUAUUUUGUUUAGUUUCCUUUGAUAUGUCAGGUUGUAUUCACGUUAGAGGUACUUGAAAUGAAAUACCGCUUUGACCAAAAAAAAAAAAAAACAUUCCAAGUUGAGAACCCACAAACCACCCAAUUCUCGAGAUUCACAAAGCUCUUCCCAAGAGAUUAAGGGACUCAUUUGGUUUGUAGAAAAAAAAAAUCUCCUUAAAUAUUUUUUCUAGAAAAGUGGUUUUUGCAUGUUUAGUUGAUCAUAAGAAGAUGACACAUUUUAAAAUGGCUUAUAUUUAGCUGAGCAUUUACUUUUCUGAAAAAAUUAUGUAAAUAUCUGUUGUCUUAAAGCAAACAUCGAUACCCAUCUUCUAAAGUCUCUCCUGAUAGUCUACAUCUUGAUAAAACCCUUUUUCGGUAGUAUAAAGAAUGACAUGAAAUACAUUAGCAAAAGAAGUGGAACUACUUAAAGAAGGGCCAAUAAACCCUAAAAGUUCUUUUGUCUGUUAACAUCUGAUCUAUGCACUCUACAAGGAGAUCUCAAUCAGCUUUUCUUAACUAUCCAUCCAUCAAAACAAAUCUCCUACCGACAUCAUGCCCUCUAUCAAGAUAAAACCAUGGGAAUAGUAAGAUUCACCUUCAGCCCUACGAUACACCUCAAAAAACUAGAUUCACAAUCCUACACCUUUAGUUUAAUAGAACAAUAGUGUAUGAGAAUCUGGAUACUGCAGAUUGGUAACUCCUGCAAUCAAUUAUCCAUUUCUAUUUCAGAGUCCAACUCCUCCCAACAAAACAUGUUGUUGCUUCUUUUACCUUCAAUGGCAUCUAGUUGACAUCUGACAACAAAAAACAAGCUGCCCUAUACAGAGGAUGGCAGUUCCCACAUUGCCAUUCACCAGGAUGGAAGAUAUAGCAGAGCUACAUAACUGUUCUAUUUUGGUCUCCAUCACCUCCUUCUCAAAUGGUAGUUUGGUUUUAGCAUUCUAGUUUCAAAGUGCUGAUUUUGUUGAAUUCCAUUGCUGCUUGCCUCAAUCACCCUUACUUGGUUACGAACUGAUGGUUCAUGUCAGGGCACUUCGGAUGUGAUAGUGUUUUAGUGUACAUGAUAAUCCCAUAUUACGAUGUAUUUUCUGUGGACAACUCAUCAGUCAUCAUAAUCAAUGUGCUUUUGACCUGCAUGGAGGGGAUGAAAGCUGGCAAAUAAUACAUGGAUGUAGCUCUGUCACUGAUAAUACAAAGCAGUAAAACAUGCUUAUUAGUACUCCCUUGUCCAUCCAUUCAUGGAUAAUCUUAAUGGAGAUAUAUACGAGAUUAUGAUAACAGAGGGAGUUGUGGCAGGUAAAUGUUCAUACGAAGGGCUGCAAGCAUUUUUCAAAAAUAGAAGAAUAAAUUGAAAGAACCCCUCUUCUCAUCCAAUAGAAGUGUUAAGAAAAAAUGUGCUGAGUUCACGAUUGAAGUGUACCCACACUUAAGCCCAGCUCAAGACUGUAUCUGCAAUCAUCAAGACUUGAAUACGUUUUUGUGGGGAGAAGAACUAGAAAUAGUUAGGGUUGUGUGUUUUUGCAUGUGAUAUUAUGGAAAUUUCAUGAACUUCUGGUGUAAAUCAUGGACUUCCAUAACCUUAUGUUGCAUGCCUACUAUCAAGACAAUAUGCCUGAAUUUGUAUGCUAUUCUAGCUAAGGGUCAAUCUGCACUAAUAUCUGAAAGAAACGUUUGAUUCAAAUGCUUAGACCCCUGUGCACUGCAUAGCAUCAUUAAAUCCGGGCUCCACCUUACUAGAAAUCAUUACAGGACGAAUCUCAUGAAUCUCCCAAAGGCUGACAUUGGGCUUAGAGUAUACAGUGAUCAUCAUAAUUAUAAGUAGACUGGGCUUAGAAUACACAAUGAUCAUCAUGAUUAUAAGUAGAAAAACAACUUGUUCAACCAUUAUAUCUGGUGUAUUGAUUCAAGGCCCCCAAGUUCCUCAAGGUGACGAGCACCAGUUCUUUCUAGCUUAAAAAACGAAACAAAGUAAAAAUGGUGCAGAAGGUGAAAUAUACGCUUCAUUGUGCAACAAGUCCGGAUGGAGUUGUCAUCUCAGACAAUGCAGAGGUGCCCUCCCACCAGCGCCUAGAGCACCUCCAUCAAUUAGCGGCGCCAGUGCCAACUCCUGCUGAACAUGACACCACAACAAGAAAAAUACAUCAAAAUUGAGACAGAGAUGGACUUUUCCAGAUCUCAUAUCAUGUAUUAACCUACUAAGGUGGUGGUGUGUUCUUAAGUGUAGUUUGAUGAUGGAUGGAAUAUACGUUUGUCUGCCUGAUUUGUAAUUGGACAGUCAUGGGGGCACAAUAUGAUCAUUUAACUAGUAAGCUACUGAAAACAAGCAGAUCAGACUCAUCAAUUUUAACUCAUAAUGUAUCAGUUGUCUUUGCUUAAAUGUAUGCGGGUGAAAUGCAGUCUAUCUAUGCAAAUCUUUGUGCCAUGGAGGAUAUCAGAAAAACGAGUCAAAAGUUCCUUUUUUACCGCUCACUCUUCAUCACUGUCAAAGACAACUGCCUUUCUACGAUGCAUUGUUGUCUUUCGUGGAGGAGACUCUCCAUCUAAUUCUAUCUCCUUGCGUUUCAGACUGCUGCUUCCAGUUUCCUUGAUCUUUCUCCUUGGCUCCUGUAGCAGGUAGAAGGUUGACAAUAGAACAUCAAUAAUAGGCUAUGGUUCAUAAGACCUCUCAAUUGGAAGUUCAUACAUAUUGUAGCCAAUUCUCAUAAAUGCUUUGCAAAAGAACACUUCAAGUUACACACACUUAACAUAGGACUGACCCACUGGCACAUUGCUUGCACACAAGGACCACUUACGGCCCAUAUAUGAAAAUUUUGGAUGGGAAUGACAUGCUCUGCUUAAAAUCAGUGAUAUCGCAAUUAGAGAUAUUUCAUAUGUAACCUACUAGUUAAGCAAAAGUAUUUAAUACUUAAAGUGGCACUAAAUAUAUUCAAAAAAAAUUAAGCUCAUAUCUGAAUCAAGUUCUACUCAGAUUAAAAAAAAUGAACACCGGGGUGGUAAAUUAAAAGCACCUUCAUGUUACUGGUCAGAAUGCAUCUGUCAAAUUCACAUCCAACUUCCUGCCAAAUUCAGUAAAACUACAGUAUGGCACAUGGCCGUGGAAAAGCGGAAUGCAGAACUUCAUGAAUUCUCCACUCUAGAGUUUGGGUAAUAUAGUGAAAAAAAUAAUAUCAAUGUUAACUGCAGUAGUUAACAAACACUUUCUUGCUACUAAUGUCAUCAAACCCAAAUCCAGCAACAACAUAAGCUGUUUAUGCCCUUCCUCACAACAUCUGUCCAUGAUAUCUUAGAAGUAUGAUCAUAAGAAUGACUUACAAUUUCAUGUUGAAAGUCACAAAAAUAUCUAAAACUGACAAGUCUGCCCCAAAAUUUGUCAAGACCUCUAAGUAAUAUGUUAUGAUCCGACAAUAUGAGAAAAAUGAAACAUUAUAGGUGCACUGAAUAUGUGUUCCAUAGGUUUUUGCAACUGAAUAUCACUGCAAUAAAAACAUCAAAUUGAAUAACAAAUGUUUCAUCAAAAUGUUUGAUAACAAAGAGAGCACUUAUUAAAAGAGAUAAAAUGAUCUUUUGAAAUUUUAAAUGCUAAGGGCAUAAACCAGCUUUGUGCGAUCAAUAUACUGCUUUCAUGCAGUUCCAUUUAUUCUCAGAACUCAAAUUCCUGAUCAUGACUUCAAUCCAAGUCCUUUUAAGCCAUUUGUGCUUUUCAGAACCUUUGGCUAAAUCUGAGCCCAUCCUAAUACAUGGUAAACCAUCAAAUGCUGCUCCAUCACUUCAUGCUCUGCUAAUACAAUUCUAAGCAUCCUGCAAUUUGUCCAUCUCAUAACACUGACCUUCAUAACUAUAUGAUAAAUCCUUGCCCACACAAUUAAUAUAAAUAUAAUAUACUUAAUAGUGUGAUCUAGCAGGAACUUUUUUACUCCAAUUAAGUUAAACUUGCUGACAAGCAUGCAGACCAUGCAUUGUAUGUAGGUUGUUCCAUAAAUAAAUCCAAAGUUAUUAGAAAUAGAAACCGAAACAAUAAAGCAAGAUUAGGUAGGGAUAUAUAUUACCUCAUCUUCAUCUUCUUCGGAUGCAGAAUUUGCACCUAGGGAUUCUUCAUCUGCCUCAUCCUCCUCAUAUUCAUCUUCAUGGUCUGCCUCAUCCUCCCUUGUAUGUGCCGGUGACCUCUCAAUAUCCUCACCAUCACUUUCAUAUUCAGAUUCCUCCCUGUCACUCUCUGAAUAUUCCUCUACCUGGCGCCUUGCUGGACGAGCUGUGGGCAAGGAUGGUUUGCGAGGGACAUUUUUGUUUAUAUUUGACUGAUAAUCCAUAAAAUUGAGCACACAUGUUUUAGGAAGUUGAACAAAGAACUGGCAAAUUAAAUGUGUACGGAAAUAAGGAAAGCAAAUGCAAACUCACUCUCUUUGCAUUCAUUAUGCGCUUCUCAGCCUGUGCUUCUGCUUCCAUAUCUUCCUCAAAACGAUAACGAGCUGAAGCUGCCCGGUGAGAACUGUAAUAGUCUUCAGGCUCAUCUUCCUGCACUCAAGAAUGAUGAUAACAAGGAAUCAGAAAAAUGUUCCAUUACCAUCCACAACUUUGUAAUGCCAAAAGGUCACGCACUCAACAUAUUUAAGCCAUGAAAGGACCAUGAAAGGAAAUGAGCAUCAGUUAGCAAACAUUAGUAAAACCAAGGAGCUAAUAAAGUGCAAAUGAUUGCCAAUGAAUAAACAUGCAACAUAAUUUGCCAAUCUAGGAGAAAAGGUGAUCCGACAAUCUAAUAGGCAUCUCAGUUUAACUGGUUAUACUGAACCAAUAACAAUCCUUUGAGCAUGAGCAUACCAGUGCAUGCACAUAAAAUGCACAUGACAAAAACACAAGCGGCCAGGAUAAAGAAUUAGAAACCAUGGCACAUAUGAGAACGAAGAUUAAAAGAAUAGAAACAGUAGAAGAAACCAACAAUAACAUAAGCUUGCUAAUGAUGUUUAAUAAAUUAUCAAAUGAUCAACUGCAUUGUCAAGAGCAUUUCUUUGGAGAAAAACUUGUUGGUUUUGAACCAUUCCACCUCUUGAAGUUAAGAAGAUUUUUUAUAUUAUAUGUACAUUAUAAGAAAAUAAUAAAUGUGAGCAUAUAAUAAAAAGAGGAAACCAAAAUUAAAAAUGACAAGUUUAUGAUGUAAUUCAAAAUUUAGAUGGAUACGAAAGCAUCUUUCUCAAUCUUCCAAGGGUACAAACAAGAAGUUUGUCAAUAACCUUAAAACAGCUUCAUAUUAUUACAGUCAACUUCGAUAUUUAGUAAUUAAUCAGAUGUCAAAUCAUAAGUAUCAUAAAAAGUAGACCUCAUCUAGUGCCUCCUCCAAAAACCCUGGAGAAAGCUGCCGUCCUCUGCUCACAGUUUGUGUGUACUUGCGGUUUACUUUUUCACGUUUCCUCUGAAGAAGUACAUUAGCUCUAAUUGUUUGGCCUUCAACCUGCAAGAGACUUCCCCCCUUAGUAUAAAAUGAUAUCACAUCUAAAAUUACGAACAUUUAUAAAAUAUAUUUAUUUAAGAGGUGAAAAUAAAGUCACACAAGCUUGCUCAUAUUUGGAUGUUAGAUUAGGACUUAAUAAGCAAAAUGUCUAGUUCAUCGAAUGGUCCUCAACAAGUCUGAAACACAAUUAGCUCAACUUUCUAUCAAAUUCAAGCUACAAACAGUCUAAAAGCUACUAAUUGACCAUCGAUCAAAGAGGAUGAAUCAAGGUCCGCAAUCUCGGUACUGGGUACCAUAUCGGUACCUUAGCGGUAUGGUACAGUACGGUAUAUCUCUGCGCCGAAAUAGCUCUCUAGCUAUUUUUCUCAAUUUUUAUCUCAGUAUUCCUCAAUACGGACCGGUGCACACCUCAACGCCUCGGUACAUGCCAUACGGGGCUUCUACCAACUUAAAGGUAUGUUUCGUACUGAUUUUCUUUUGAUACGGUAUGGUAUGUCCCGUAUCGGACAGUAUAGGAUGGUACGGCAGACCUUGAUGAACUACUAAAAAGGAAAAUAUGAACACUUGUAAAUAAUCAAUUAAAUGGUAGUUAUCAAAAAUGCUCCAUUUAUUGAGACUAAUUUUAAUUGGAUGAGAGUCAAAGAUGCAGAAACUUUGUCUAGAGAAUAUAAUAUUGAAAGAUCAAAAAGCAAUUCAAUUCAAGCAGCUAGCAGAAGUGAUGUGCAAGUGCAGAAAAAUAAUUUGAAUUGUAAGAGCAAAACUGAUGAAAUGGGUGUUGAAUCCAAUGUGACUGUUAAGGUGCUGGCCAGGUCGAGUUGUAAAUAUUGGAUAGGUAAAGCAACUUCUUGAAUAAUUGAUAGAACGCAGAUUACCAUACCGACAACUAAUAGGUAACAACUCAUUUACAAGGUGUCAGCAAUCAGGAGCAUACAUUAAAUUAUAAAAUUGUGGUUUCUUAAAUUACAGGACACAUCUGGAUGAAAUAUUUGCCAAGUUUGCCUACAGUGAACAUGAAAUGACUGGAUGCCAGCAUCUCUUACCCUUUCCUUCUUUUCUUUUUCUCUCUCUGGAUCAAUGUCAGUAAUACAAUUUUUCACUUUGUAAACCUUCUUAUGACGUGAAUCAACAAGAGCGGUCAGUAAACGGUGAGACUUUGAUGAUAAAGAAGAUGGCAUAAAUCUCAUCUUCCGUAAAAGCCUUCCUUGGGACUGCAAGAUUCCCUGCAUUAACACAAAUAUCAAAGGAAUUAAUUUAACCAUAUUGUCAUGAAGUGUUGCAAAUAAACCCAAAUUAUCAAAGGAUGGAACCAGAGUACAAUUAUCAACCAAUCAUCCGGAUGCUGAGAUAUAAAAUGCUCGAGUCUCAGAGCAUGAUUAUCUCGCAACAGUAAAGACAUGAGUACCACCUUUCCAUGCCGAAGAAAUAGGUGGCUUUGAUCGUGAUCUGCCUCAUGCACAGAUAUGUUAAGAACUUCAUUACCAAUCAGCAAUUGCAGACUUCCAUCUUCCCACCUUACAAAACGUGCAUUGCUUUCAUACUGCAGCAAAGAUAUGCAUAAAAAUGUUAGACACAGAGAUGAUAAUAAAGAAUUCAGCUGAAUACUUAAUUUGAACUGGAAAGUACAUCUAUGUAUGUAAUCCUGUCUGCGAAUCUAUUAGCAGAACCAUAUCUAAACGAGAAUACAAUCAACUCAGCCACAAACUGUGUAUAUACCCCACCCCCCUUCAAAAAAAAAACGCAUGCAGAGUGCCUGCGGUUGGCUCAGAAAGGGAUAUACAGUCAAGUGAGGCCAAUCAAGCAGCUGGCACCCAAGAACUGACUGCUACAAGACAAACUGUGAAGAGUAAGACAAGCUUAACAAGCUACUGCUUCAGUCUUAAGUACACAUGCUGUCAUAUGUUUAUAACAAAUGAUGUUUAUGCACUCUAAAGGCUUAAAUAGGAAUGUUGGAACCAUGGAAGCCUGGCAGGACAUCAUAUGCAUUCUGCUAUGACCAGUGCUUGCCACUCAUUGGCACAAAUGGGUCUGGCACAAAUGUAAGCUAAGCAGCACAAACCAGCACAGCUGGUAUCUAAAACCAUGUGCAUCUUCAAAUUAUCUCAGGUUGCAAAACAUAAGAAAAACAGAAUCUUGAAGAAGCAUAACACAUGAUUUUUACUAACAAAGAAAACUAGCUAAUACAACCAAGCAACUAAACACCUAAGGUGAUAGAAAAGGUAAAUCACGCCUUCGCCUUAACCAGAAAUGGCAAGGAACUCAAAAUCGGGAAUUUGGGGGAGGGGGGAAGGCAGGCAGAAUACGUACACAUGGUCAUUGAAUCGGCAUGAAGGAAUUUGAUAAGUAAAAACACAAACCAGACAAAAACAACCACACUAAACAACCAGAAUUAAGAGAUGACAAUAGCUAUAUUAGAAGGAAUAUUAGAAAUAACUAUUUUAACUCCAUCUAUGUUUUGUACAAUAACCGGUCCCAAGCCCGGAUAAGGGAAUAAAACUACAGUUACAUCCUAUGAACAUAAAUCCAUAUACUGAGUUGAGUUUACAAUAAAAUUAUGAAGGGAAUAAAAAUCUGAGAAGACCAUCCACCAGUUGGCGGCUAGUACACAGGUAGGGGAUACAUGAUGUCAUGAUCCUUAGCUCUCUUCUCCAUAAAAGAAAGUCAGACCAUUACCUACAUACAAAGCCUUCUCCUCAUUCAUCGAUGAGCAGGCAAAAUUUCAGAAACAACCAACAAACUCGACUCUAGGCAUAAUUUUCUUUCAGUUGCCCAUAGCUAUAUUCACACAUCUAGAGAUGACAAAAGCCUUAUACUAGAUGGGUACUAAGAAUAUACCACUAGAUAAUAAUUUAUAGAUUGCACUAUUGCUUUGCUGCAGUUUCAUCAUGAAGUUUGACAACCUACUUUGCAUAUCCAUUUUUUGUUGGUUUUUGAGAAACUCAGGUCCAUAAGUUCAAAAUAAAAAAUCUCCCCAUCCAUUGGAUGCCCUUUGAAAGAUGGGACAUGGAUCCCCUUGAACCCUUUUGCUUACCAAACCAAGUCUUCCAGCUCAGAUUUUUCUCAUAAUCAAUGGAAAAAUGAAGAAAAAGAGGAAAUCACAAAAACACCAUGCAUGCAUUAUGGGUCCAUCCAGAAUUUACUUCUGUUUCAGUUGCCAACUUUAAAGCUAAGACCUUAGUUAUAUUUCCUGAACUCUUGCUUAUGCAUCCCAAGCUUUGUCCACCACAGGACCUCAGCAAUGCUGAUCAAAGUUUCCCACAAAACAAUAAGCCAGAGUAAGGCCAACCAUAGUUGUCCAUCAAGACUCUAGCCAGCACAAGCUUUAACUUUCCCAAUGUCCGAAACAAUUCGAUAAUGUUGAUUUUGCAAAAACUUACCUUUAUAUAGUUCACAUCCUUAAUAUAAUUUUAUCACAAUACCUUGCCUAGUAGAUAACUAGUGUAAGUAGAAUUUGCCAAUCAAAUACUGAGCACAGGUCAACUUGCUAGCCACAAAGAAAAAAGAAAAGGACAAAUAAGAAAAUAAUAGCCUGAAAAGAGGAAAAAAAAUUGUUAACUUGUUCAGCAACUGUCCAACAAAAAAAAUUGGUACUUCCGUUGAAUCCCCAAGAAACAUCAUUAAAUCAUACUUCAAACUCUUGCAACCAAAUUUGGAUAGAGAUAUCAACGACCUAAACCAUAAAGAAAAUCAAAUGCAUUGACCAAAAAAAGGUUAUGGAUAACAAAAUAAAAGUUAACAUACAAAAAGAUAAUUGCGAUAAAAUUUAUCUGGUGUAUGAUAUAUUGUGAUUCAGCAGGCCUUCACUUACAGAGGUUGUGCCAUCACGGUUCUUGACAGCUCUCCAACGCACGAUAUUGUCCUCUAGGCGUAUACGUUUCUUAGCUCCAGAUUCAUCUGUCACAAACACAUCCUCUUCUACGUAUGUUUUAGGAUCAAAAGGUUUUGGUUCAAUGCCCAUGAUGUUAGAUACCUUGAUCAUGUUCAUCUGCAAGAGAGGAGUAUUUCUUAAAAGCAAGAUCUGUGCCGGUCAAUAGUCAAAGUCAAAGAUUUGAUAAGGACCAUCAAGCUCAUAAACAGAUCAAACUGCAUGUUCUGCAUCAAAGGAGUCCUAUAGAAUAGAACAAAGAGGCAGAAGUGCUGUUGGGUUCUGCAGAAUGACAAUUCAGUAAAUUUCAAGUACACAAUGAGACUGAAAUAGAAGCAAAAUCAUCAAUGCCACCCAUCCAUUCUGCAUGCAUUGGAAAUGUGGGACCGGACAAUAAUACCUCUCAGAACAUGCAUUGAAUAAAGAAGUCAUCUUAAAAGAAACCGAAAAAUGAAUGACAAAAAAUCAAUGACCUUGCAAGAGACAAGUGAUUAGACAGGAAAAAUCACACAGAACUACCAAAUGGCCAUAUAGACAUGCUUCUUGAGCUUUGAUAAGAUCACUUAGAACAGGAACAGACACAUAAAAGUUAGGAGGGUUAGGUAUACAUCUAAUAGAAAAUACUUGGCGAACAUGGACCCACAAAGCCAACCCCAAAUAGCUGAGAAAAGGCUAAAUGAUUAUGAUUAUGAUUAAGGAUGAUUCGUGUUAAGAUUGAAUUAACACUUCCGCCAUAUAUUUAAUAUGGAGUUAAAUAAUCCCUUAUAUAGUAGUACGAACCCUAUAUAACCUUGAAGAAGAUGAUGCAUAGCAAAAGUGGACUCUGUCAGUGAGAGGAAGCCAGAAGAUAAAGACUCACUCUUUCAGGUCGACCUGGUGGAGGAUGCAGUGGAAUAUCCAAUUCCAAUGGUGGGCCAACUGGUUUCUCCUUUGGUUUCUUUUCAAGAUUCUCAUCUUCCCACUCAUACUGGCCAUCAUCAUCGGGCACUAUGUCCUCCGGUCUCAAACCUUUCUCAUAGCUACCUUCCUCCUCCAUAGGAGAUCUCUGAACAAGAUAAAAUAUUGAAAUGUUUUUGUUAGAAAACAAAACUUAGCCAAAAAAAGCAAACAAAUUUGCAUGCAAAACAAAACAGGACAGAGAAUGUUAAAUGCCAGCGUGGAGAAAAGGCCAGCACUGAGAGAUGAUUCAACGAAAUUGAUCUUCAUAAGCAUUCAUAAAUUCCCUGCAGAUCUCAUUUUUAAAGCUUUUUCUUAGAAAGUAAAUUUUGAAUAGUUCGGUUAAGCUACCUUACAGUCCUACAAUGAACUUAUUUUAACACAUAAGUAUCCAUCACCCUCUACUGAUUCCACCGGGAAAUAAUAUAAUGUCCUUGUUCUUUAAUUUGCCUAGAUAAUAAAAUCAUAAAACAGCAAGCAUCUAACAGUUCCUAUCAAAUAUGAGGUCACUUGGAUCAUUCCUAUGUAAGCAUUGCUUCAUGUACGCCAAUUCUUCUAAGUAGAGAAUUUCUUCAAGUCUUUUCUCAUAGAUUCCAUGUACUCUUUCUAGCUCCAGGCUGCAAUAUACUAGUAUCCUACUCUAUCUUUUCUAGUUCUAUUGGCUGGCUAAAUUUAUAAUGUUUUAAUCCUUUGUAAACCAAUAUAUGAAUAGCACGGCAUUUUCCAUUGUCAGCACAGUUGCAAACACAAGCCAGAUAAAAAGCAUUUGAGAAAUCUAUGUUUAGCAAUCUAAUAUAUGCUGACACUGGAACACAUUUCGCCUAGCUAUGUUGACCAAAAACAAGAAUCCUAUAGAACAACCAAUUUUCAUCUAGUAAACGCAAAUAAAGAGCAUCAUAACAAGUGCAAAUGAGAAAACAGAAUUCCUUUUAUGAGAAAAACACUACGAGUGUUCAAUAUUUCUCGGUCUCACAUGUGAAUCUUGCUCGAUUUCAUCUUGAGCACCAAACUCAGCAGGCUCUUCCUCAUCAGAGUCCCCAAAAACAUCACGAACAACUUCAUGAUCUUUUUGCUCAUCAAUUGACCUGCUGGAGAAUUGAGAAAGAAAAUGCUUUUAACUCUAAAGAUUGAAGUUUCAAUAAGGAAUCAACAAUUAAAUGAUUAAAAAUAUAUAUAAACUCUCCAAGCAAAUUUAUAAUAGAAGUUUUUAGCUAAUAUCAUCCUAGCAAUACAUAGUCAUGAUUAAAAUAAAGGAAAUAAUUCAUGAACCUCCAAGCUAUCCCUUAGAGCCUAAAACUGAACAAAAUCAGGGCCCCUGCAAGGGGGGGACAGGGUACCUGUACUAAUGUUGGAAUCUAAAUCUAUAUAAGAUUCAAAUUUGGAGGGAAGUCCUCCAUCUUGUGGCUGAGUAAGACAAGUCCAUAACUCCUCUCACACUUGGCUGAGUAAGGGGGGGACAGGGUACCUGUACUCAUGUACUCGUUGUCGCUGAGUAAGCCAAGUCCAUAACUCCUCUCACACUUGGUUGUUAGUUUUUAAAAAUAUUGAACCUUAUCUAUUCAAAGACUUUCAAACUUAAUCAAAUACUUCAAGCCUAUUCCACGUUAUACGACCAGGUCUUUGGUUUUGGUAUCCAUUUAUGGGCACAGGGAACGUCCUCGUGUGGUUACGGAAUGUGCCCAAACCACAUGACCAGAUGGUUCCAAGAUGAGCAUGAGGCUUGUUUCUUUUUAUUGCGACCUUCCUUGAGAGACAGAAUAUGUGGAAAAAAGAUCUCACAACUCUGCUCACUUUCUCUCUUAUUAGCUUCUUCAAAGUUUUCGAUUUUUCUUUAUUUGCAAGGCUUUGAGAUCACAGAGAAGGUCCAGAUCCAUUGCUGCAUGCAUAGCAAGGAGGGCCAUUAGUGAGAGGUUCCACCGUGUCUUAAGGGUAGAUCACAGGGAGCCUGGCUGCACAUUUGGGGGCAGAAUGUCUAUCCUAAUGACAGCAUCUGAGUAACAUGCCUGGGAUUCCCUUCUCUCUUAGUUUCUCUAUUAUUUAAUCCUAUAUUUGCUUUCCUAUAAAUUUUGCCAUAGUUAUCUAACAAACAAAACAUUACAACAGCCAUAAGGCCUAUGCAUAUCUUCAAUGUCCAAAAACAAAAUCUUAGAGCACCUCACUAAGAUUCAGACCCAGGACUUCCACCAAAAACUAGAGCUUAACAACUGCUUGGACUUUGAACUUGAACACAAAUUUAAUUUGCCCUUGUUAAUGCUUACAAUUUCUAACUUGGCACCCCAAAUGAAUUAGUAUGGAUAUGCUCUACAAAGCUGGUAAGUAAUUUGAGAAAAUGACAACAACCAUUAGAUUUUCAUAGCAAGUAUGUAGCUUUUUUUUCAUUCAAUCAUGACAUCAGUCUAAGCAUGCAUGCAAAAAGAUAUAUAUUUGUCUGCACUAGGAGAAAUGCAUGACUAAAAAAAAAUUACCUGGGCUUCCUUGCAUAAGCAACCUCCACAUCUUCAUUAUCAUGAUCAGCAUAAUGAUUACCCUCAGAUCCCUCUGAUUCACUAGCGACUACUUCUCGUCUCCUGCUUGUUACUACUCUUUGCCCAUAGCCUUCUUCUUCACUUUCAGCAUCUUUUGCCUCACUCUCCAUCCUUUGGUCACUAAUUUCUCUUUCUGGAGAACUCUGAACCCUUUCCGCUUCACUCUCUCCCAUGUCAAGAUCUAUGUCAUGUGCUUCAGCUUCGCUUUCCACUUCAACUUCACCUUGCCCCUCAACUUCACCUUCCCCUUCACCUUCACCUUCUCCUUCACCAUCGAUCUCAGCCUCGCCCUCCCCCUCAUCCUAAAUAAAGAACAAGAACAAGAUCCUGGUGAGAUAACGUAAAAGAAGUCUAGCUUUACCCUAUUAAAUUACAUUAGUAAAUAUCAUAAUCAUUGAAGAGGUAGUAAAAUUCAUGCAUAAAUGUAAUGGUAGUAUAAAAAGUUCCAACAUUGGUGAAAUCACAAUUACUAGAAAAAGUAACCAAGCUCCCAAUGCAAAUUAAUACAGUUUGCAUAUACUACAGCAUGGUCAAAUUUCAACCCAAAGUAUCCCAGACUUAUUUGGCCUUUAAGAAUUCCUCUUGAAGGGACAUAAGCAUGCUUGUAGAGAUUGUUUCAAAAAUUUAUAGCAUGUGUUUUAUUAAAAAUCAUUAUCAAAAGUCACUAAAUUGCACAAACUUGUUAGUCUAUGUAUGCAUGCAAUGUGUACUAAGCUAAAAUAUGAUUGACCUGCAUCAAAGUGACUUAAAAUGUUUAGGCAUAUGCUAAUGGUAACUAUCUGUAAUGUAUACUUGCCUCAAAAAUGAUAUAGACACUGCAAACAAAAACCCAUGAACUCACUGUUGAUUCAUUUCAAGAAAUGCCUUUUUUCUCUGUUAAUUAAAGAAAACCCAUUACUUGGUUCAGACCUCCAUUUAGUUUCACCCGGUACUUAAAUUAUGUCAAUACUAAUCGCAACUAUUGGAGUCAUUUGAAACCUAAACCUAAGAGCCUGUAUGGAAUCACUUUUAUUGCUUAUUUUUUAUUUUAAAAACAAAAUCAUAGAAACUAAGGUAAAAAUAUCUUUAGUGUUAUUAUUUUUAUUUUCUAUUUUUAAAAUAUAUUUUCAUUGUUUCUAGAAAAAAAUGAAAGAAAUUCUUAUUUUGAUCUUUUUUCAAAAACAAGAAACUCAUGUCUUUUACCACUACCAUUGAUACUAUCUCCAUCGCUAUCAACAUUGCUACCACGACUGCCACUAUUGUCACCACCAUUAUCAUCGUCAUUGCCAUAGUCACUGUUGCCGUCUCCGCCGCCACCACCAUUGCCACUAGAGCUGCCACUGCCAUUAUUUCUACCACCACCACCAUCGCUGCAGCCACUACAACCACUGUCAUCUCUAACACCACCACCACAGCUGUCGUCGCUAUCAUUGUUUCCACCACCACCGCCAUCGCUGAUGCUGCCACCCACACCACCUUCGCACGCCGCCACCACCACCACCACAAACUUUGCCACGACUCUACCACAUCACCAUCAUCGCCGCCGCCGCCAUAUUAUUAGUGGCCCCACCAUCACUAUCACCACUGCCACCACUCUCAUGCCACCAUAUCACUAGCACCUCCACCCUUGCUACCAUCGCCGCCACCACUACUACCUCCACUGCUUCCGCCACUACUAUCAUUAUCAUGUUUUUGUUUUUUUUUUAAAAAAAAGCUAUACCAAACAUAUUAAUAUUUUUUAAAAUUUAGAAAUAAAAUGGAAACAAUUUUUUAUUUCUAAAAAUAAAAAGAUGAAAGCGAUGCUGGACAGCACCUAAGUUCUGCAACUUUUCUGAUGCUCUGCCUCAUAUGAUACCUAAAAAUUGUAGCUUUCAUGCACAAGGACAUCAAAACUUGUUUCCCGUUAAUUUACCAUACCCAACCCCCCCCCCCAAAAAAAAAAAAAGAAACUAGACCUAGAUUUUCCAACAUUUCUACCGUUCUGCUUCAGAUAAUGCCUAAAAAUUGUAACUUUCACGCACAAUAACAACAAAACUAAUUUUCACGUAAUUAAAAAAAAAAUUAAACCUAACCUAAAUUUUGCAACUUUUCUGCUGUUCUUCUUCGGAUAAUGCCUAAAAAUUGGAACUUUCACGCACAAGAACAACAAAACUAGUUUUCCAUUAAUUUUUAAAAAUAAAACCUAAUCCAAAUUGUGCAACUUUUGUUCUGUCCUGCAUCACAUAAUGCGUCAAAAUUUUAACUUCUGCACAACAGCAACAAAAUUAUUUUCAAUUUUCAUUUGAAGAUUUAGAAAGAGGUUCAAGAGAUCCAUAUCCAGGUGAUUGACAUAAGUAGCAAAACAAAUAUAAAUGCUAACUCAUCGCUGAAAUAAUUAACAGCACGAUUCACUCUAUUUCCUAAAACCCUAAAUCAGAUACAAAAGUAAAAAAUUUCAUGAACAAGGGGAAGAUCCGGCUCGUUCUUCCGGAUCAAAUAACCAAACUGGAGUCCAAAACAUCAAGAAAUCGGACAAAAUCCCCAAAAAUCCAGAUCAAUAGGAGUUCAGUUCCAUACCGAGGGGUAAUCGGAAUGGUUGGCGGCGGCCUCGUGCUCGGAAUCGACCUCCUCCGCCUCCUCCUCCUCCUCUUCGGAUUGAUCGCCGAAGAGGUUCUGCAUCAUCUGAUUCCUCGUUUUCUCCUCCAUAUCUCUCUCCCCUACCAUCCGCCGCCCCCUCAAUCGCUCUCUUUCCUCCCCCCUCCCUCUCCCCCUCCUGUUCUCUCUCGUCUCGCUUGGGGCUCCAAGAAGCGAACCCUCUCUCGUCUCGCUUCGGGCUCCAGGAAGCGAACCCUCUCUCUUCCUCCGCUUCGCCAAGAAUCGGAGCUUCUCGGACUCGGACUCGGACUUUUUUUAUUACGAUGGAGAUUGUGCUUCCUUUAGCGUCCCUACGCUUUAUAAGGCGGAGCGGGUAAGUUUAGCCCAUUGGAACCGGAUCCGACACCCAGUGGUUUAAUAACGACGUUAUUUCAUGAUUACAUAUGGAAUAAGUUAAUAUUAAAAUAAUCUCUUAUAACUUUUAACAACCAUUGUAAUAGGCGUUAUAAACUUAUAAUGAAUAAUAAUACGCAAAACUGAAAAAUCACAUCCAAAACACAUUCCAUCCAAUUAAAAAAACAUUUUUCUUUCUAAGUGGUGCAAACCCUUUUGGAGGAAAAAUUGGUGCAUACAUUUAAAUUUUGGAUAAAAUUUACUCAAAUAAAUAUCAUAAAAAUGCAAAUAUUCACCUUCUAUGACAGCCUACUUCUAUUGUCUAAUGGAUGUUAUAAAGGAAUAAAUGAAUGAUAGUCAAAUACCAUAUGUUCUUUAAAUACCAUUAUCAUAAUUUAUCCAAAAAAUAUAUCAUUAUCAUUAAGCUUAACGUAAUGGACCUCCUCUAAGAUCAUUAUAAGGCCAUUAUUUUAAAUCAUGAUUUGGAAUGUGAUAACCGAUGAUUAUUGGAAAAUUAGCAAUUAUUUUUUACAUAAAAUCCUUCUUUUAUAUAUUAAUUGGAUUCUAAGAUCUUUCUUUUGCAUAGUUGCAUGCAAAUGUUUUGCUAGGUCAAAACUUUUUAGUUGGACCUUAAGUCAAACCUUUCCAAAGCUCGCCAAACACAACAUUGAUUUUAAAGUUUUGGUAUUUUUAGAGGGCUAAAAAGUAUUUCUCAAAACACCAUAAGCUAUUUUGAUGAUUUUUUUCAUAAAAAUUUUAAAAUAUCUUUAUAGCUCCUUGAAAAGCUAAAAAUAGUCUCCAAGGAAAAAAGCUUUUGGUUUUUUGAUAUUAAACAGUUAGACAAUUAAAAGCACUACAUAAUGUCCUUUAUUAUCAUUUUUUGAUACUAAAAGUAUUUUCUUAAUUUGGUUACUAAAGUGAUAUUAAGGUUCUACAUUACUUCAAAAAUAUAAUUAACAAAUAGCAAACAACUUUUAUUUGAAGCUUUACUAGCCAAAGCUCUACUACUCAAUAUUCCACUAUAUAUAGUGAUGCUAAAUGAAGCCUAAGUGUAACUGGAUCCAUUUCUCCCCAUUAAAAUUUCUUUUUCAUGCUAACUAUCAAAAAUAUAAUCUUAAAAUUAUUUAACAUUCUUUUCUUUUUAUAAAAUAAUGGUGGGAAUAUUUUACAAGAAAUGAUGUACUAUAUAUGAAUCAGGGGUGGCAAUCUACUCCACUUAAUUGAGUACCCAGGUUUUACCUAACUCGCAACGGAUCUGGGGCAGGUGCCAAGAAUCGUCUUGAACCCAACUUAAGUAUAUAUAACUCUUUAUAAAUUCUCUCCUCAUCAUUUGCCCUAGUUGCUCCACUCAUGAGAAAGAUUGAACAUGUAAAAAUGGCAUGCCAUGAUGCUUCAAUGUUUAUUUUUGAGUUGAUAGAUUUUUCUUAGUUUAAAGAAUAUUUGACUUCUUAAACAAUAAUAUCUUGUUUGUUAUGUUUUUAUUAUUAUUAAAAAUUUAGUUUGUCAUGUUCUAUAUCUUUUGACUCUUAUUUUGUUUAAUGUAUGUUAUAUGCAAAAGUUUAUUUUUAUAAUCCUUUUUAUUUUUUGAUUCGUAUGCUAAAAAAUUAAUUUUUUACAACUUUUUUUGAUCCAACCUAUUCCAUCCAAUUUGUCCCAUCUAACUAUACUCAUUUCCCACUGUUCUAAGAUAAGUAUAAGAUGAGCACAAAUAAUAGCCUACUUGACUUAUAUUUGAUCUGUUGCUAUCUCUAUUUGUGAUCUUCUAUAAUUGACCUAGAAACUCUCCCCACAAGGAGACAAGAACCAACAAAGGUCCAGUUGACUUGUAUAAUCAUAUUUUCUCUAUCCAUAGACUUUUAACCAUAGUUUAUCUCUAUCAAAAAAAUAUAUUUUAUUUAAUAAUUUUGUUUUUAUUAAAAAAUUAUAGAAAUAUUUUAAGAGAAAUGAUGGCACUGUACACUACCAUCUAUUGAACCCAGAAACUUUACCAAUCGUGAACCAGGAGCCAACCGAGGCUAGUGGAGUUGAUUUUGAUAAUCUUAUUUUCUCUGUCCAUGGACUUUUAACCAUGGCUUAGCUCUAUCAGGCCCCAAACCAAAAAAAAAAAAAAUCUUUAACCUCUUUCUUUUCCCCUGCACUUUGGAAAGCAUCAUUGGCCAUAUUGGCCCCAGCUGCCCUAGCUACAUAAUUUCUAGUGUUAUGAUGAUGAUGGUUGUAUGGACAUUUAGCUAUUUCAUUUUUCUUGCCUAAACCUCACCUUAUCUCGUAUCGAGCUUUAUGUUUGACAUAUCCCUCUUUAACUCUAAUUGCCCAUGAAUGUGUUAUAACUCCACUAUAAUCAUAUGUAAUUGAACCUCACUAUGUAUCUCACGUUUGCAAUUUAUCUUUUUUCCCUUCAUGUGAAAAUUAGUGACAUCUCAUCUAUGUAAUAUAUCAAGCCAGUAACCAUAGACUCUUGCAGCUGCUGAUAUCAAAUGAAAUUAUUUAUUGACUCUUUGGACAAGGUUUAAUUCAAACCAAAAAUACUCAUGGACCGUGAAAUCGUACUGCUCAUCAAUUUUGUUGCUGUUGGAUUCUGCGCUGUUGUUUUCGCUCAAGAGGUCGGCGAAAAUUGAGGAUAAUUGGGGUUGAUCGAGCUCGAGGUGAAUUGAGACUGGUUGAAGCCUAAAUCGAUCUGUAACAAAAUCCGCUUGUCGGAAGAUUUUCAGUAUAAAACCCUCCGAUACUUAAGUCAUAAAACUAAAGCAACAGUGGAAGGAAGAAAAUAUGUUGAGAGAAGUCUCUGUGUGAGCUUAUCCGAGGAUUCCCAUAUUACCCUUUUAUGUAGAGUAAAGUAUGCAUCCGUUUUCUGAUUUAGCACGAUGUACCUUAACUGUGUGGUAAUAAUCCAUUGCAUAUUAACAACAUGGCAAUCGUCCCGCACGAGCAGCAUGCAGUGGCAAUCAUGCCGAUCAUACAUUAACUGCAGUUUUGGCAUAACUACCGAUCUUUAUUAUUUCGAACAAAGUGGCACAUUGAUCUUCAUCAAAGUCAUUCACCUUGGUUAUGACCCGAGUCAAAAAGGUCGGCCCAGCAAACAAUAUUCUCUCCACCAAGUUUCAUGCACAGCAUGAUUAAUUAAUGUAGGGAAGAACAACACCUUUGAACGAAAGUUUUUGAUUAUGUGUUGAAUAUCAAGAUAACGCCCCACGUAUCACCAAGGAUCCGUGGCGCAAUGGUAGCGCGUCUGACUCCAGAUCAGAAGGUUGCGUGUUCGAUUCACGUCGGGUUCAAAUCCCGAACCUUUUUAAUUUUAUAUAUUAUUUCCCUAUUCUACCCUGUGCGGCCAAAGUCCAGCCCGCCUUACAUCAUGUCAUACUUACAUAUAUUGUUUUCGAAAGUCCCAAAAUUUUCCCAAUAUUGAAAUAGUAAAUAAUCUAAAUUUAUAUAUUAAUUCCUAGAAACUAAGUUUCGAAAGUCCCUCCACUGGUCCCUGCAAUCUUUCACAUUUUUGUGUCUAUUCUGCUAUUUUUUAGUUUAGGUCUUUUAUAUAUUUAAAGAGUUUUUGCAUAUAAAUCUCUAAAAUCGAUCAUAUUUUUAUAUUAACUUCUUUAAUAUUUCAAUUUUAUAUAGAAAUCCCUAAAGUAUGCUCCAUUGUGCAUAAAAAUCCUCACGCUAGUUAUUUUUAACCAGACUAUGUUUAGGAUUUAUUAGAUAUGCUAAUGCCCAAAAAGACCAGGGAUAGACCCAAUGUCUUCUUUUCUCCCUCUCAUUUUACCCAUUACUCUUUAUCCACCAUCAAUUACUUAUAGAGAAUAUAGAAGAAGAAAUAAUUUCUAACCUUGCAAUUAUUAAUAGAGUAUCUAGAAGAAGAAAUUCCAAUAAAAUUGCAAAACCCAAAUAAUAAAACUUUGAAUGUAAACAAAUUCUUUUUUCUAACUACAAAUGAAUUGCACUUCAAGAGAACUACAAGUAAAUAGACGAGCCCUAGAUUUUAAGCAAUAAAAAAAAACACACAUAAUAUAGCAAAAUCCAAAAAAAAAGUGAAAACCCAAAGAAUAAAAACUAUGGACAAAAUAAAAAUCUACCUAUUCUCAAGCUCCGUAACUGCAAAUAGAGAAGGGGAUGGUGGUAUUUACAUAAUUAUGUGGUGGAUUUUGAUUUAUCAUUGUCGAAUUUGAUCAAGCAUCCACUUUAUUGAGAAUUUCAACAAAAGAGAUGGAGCUAUUUUUUCCCCUUAAAUAUGACUAUUGCCCUCUAAUAAUCAACCAAUGGAUUGCUGAGAGAGGUUUGGGAGAUUAAAUCACUUGCAGUUGUCAAAUUUUGAUGGUAGAUAAGAUUUUUUAGACUUUAGAGAGAAAUGGAUCAAGUUAUAAGAUGGAUGAUGAUAAGAAGCCUACUAAAGUCUCCUUUAACAGCAAAAAAGUCAGUAUAAUGGAAAGUGUUAGUAAAUAAAUAUUAUUAAAUGAAUGGACCAAGAAUAUAUACACCAUGUUUGGUUAAGUAAAUCCAAGGAAGUUAUGUGCAAAGAGUUAUGUAAUUCCAAGGAUUAAUAGACAAAAUUAAAGGUCGGAGGAAUUAAUAGGCAGUAUGAAAGACUAUAGGGAUUAAUGUGCAAAAUAAAUAAAUAAAUAACCUCUCAUUUUUUAUGUUUGAUUCACCUUUAACAAGCUAGUCCGUAUCCAUCAAUCUUUUCUCCUUGGCAGUUUAUAUAAUAAAUCUUUCCCUUCCUUAUUUGUUAUUUUUUUAAAAAAAAUCUAUGGUGGAAUUUCACCUUAAAUGGCCCAUCAAACAUUGAUCAACCUUUUUGUCUUGCUUAUUUACCAUAUGAUUUUAUUCCAUUAUAUAUAUUAUCUAUCUAGUGUAAUAGCAUCUCAAUUUAAAAACCAACACAUGAAUCAGAGUUGCGAUAGCGAACUACACUCUUGGUGAUUUUUUUUUUCCUUCUAUAAGGAUGUUGUUUACCAUAGCUCUUGAAAAUAUUGGUUUGUUUAAGGAGAGCUUGUGACACGUGGUAGAUUAGACAGUCAAGAAAAAGGAUGGAUAAAAUCAUCGCCAAAGAGUAUAAAAUUGGACAUUAUCUAUCUAAAUUAGUGAUUUAAUUAAUUACCAUGGUGCAUGAUUCAUUGUUAUUAUUCUUUUUAAUUUAAUAAUAUAUGUUUUGAUAAGGGAAGGAGUGAACAUCUUGAGUAUGUUUACAUGGUGUGUCCAACAUAUUAUUAUAAACUUAAUUAAGAGGCUUGCAUAUAUAUGAUAAUCAAAAGUCCAAGUAGAAGUCCAUUCUGGAGUUGAAAACAAUACCUCUACUAUUAUAAUGCAAAUUGCCAUGUACUUUCAUCCAUUGCUCCUAUAUCUACGUUUGAUGAAGUACAAAAAGUUUGCAACCUGUAACCUAUCAUUCAGUGGUAGUUUCUCAUCUUUUUUUUUGAUAAAAAUGUACUUAAUUUGAAUAACUUUUGCUAAAAGUAUAGAUACAAUGGACAAGGUAGAAAAUGGAAGUGGAUUUAUGAGAUAGUAACCAAAAAAAAAUUAAUGCAGCAUUUCUUGCGAUCACAAACAACAUGAGCCAUCCCCCAUUUUUUUUGGUUAAAAUGACAUUUCAUAUAGCUCUAACGUGAGUACGGCCUGCCAGGUCAAACGAAAGUAAAAGAUACAGAAAAGGAGGUAAAACUACCAAUGACAUCCAGAUGAACUCCCCGAAGUGGCAAGCUACAAAUGAGGCGACACAGUCCCAUGUACAUGGUAUGUCUGUAAUACUGACAUUGUAUCAACUUUCUUGGUUGCUCUCAAUUUCACCAUUGGAAUUGAGAAAAAUGAAGUAUCACCUGCCAUUUGAAAGAGAUCCAUUAAAGUAUCAAAAAUUAGAGCCAUCAAAGCUGUCAUUUCUCUAAGCUACCAACUUUAAAAAUUGCUUUUCUAGGAGCUAUAAACACAUACAUGAGACUUAAAGAGGUUACUUUAUAUCAGCCAUAAGCUGAAAAUAAAAAUCUAAAUAUUUUUCAAGAAAGAUCUAUUUAUUUUGAUGUAAAAGAUUUAUACGUGUGUUGUAAGAAGAAGAACCAUGUGUUCUAGAUACCUCAAACCCAUGAACCGUGACAUCCUAAAGUCGAUCACUAAAUUAUAUAUUUAGGAUGACCUAGUUUAUGGACAAAAAGUUUUAAAAUAUAUAAUACACGUAAUUAUAUUUCUAAUCUUGGAGUUGACAUCCAAUAUCCAUAUUGCAAGGUUGGAUUGCAUAUAAUAUCCUCUAUUUACAUCUUUAAAAUGCUCUCGUGAGCAUUAAGUUUUUAAUGCUUUCUAAUUCGAUAAUAAUCCUCUCAAACUGAUUAAUUAUCAUCUAUAUUGUUUAAAGUAACUGGAAACGGAAACAAUAUAUUGUGAAACUCCCUCCUACUUAUUUUAUAUAUAAAAAUAAAUUAUAAAUUAAACUAAUAUGUUAAUAAAAAUAAAAAAUCAUUCUUAUAUCUCAAAAUAAUUUUUUUUAUAUAAAAUAAUAAAAAAAGGCUAGCUAUGAUGAUUGAUUGGAUUCAGGGCAGCACAGCAAAGAUGAUCGGCACCCAUUGUUUCAAAAUAUCUGCAGGCUCUCGAAAGGGUUCGGCUUUUUUCAAGCCAUUCAUAUUUAUUGAACGGCAAAUAGUGCUGCUGGGUAGUCUCUUAUGCUACGUAUCGGGAGAGAAUCACAAGACUGACUAUAAUUUUUUCCAUAAGGAUUUUAUUUUAUUAGAGCUUUUUUGCAUAAAUACCCUUCUAAAUAUCGGAUUUUGCAUAAAUAUCUUUUCAAAAUUGAUAUUUGCACUCGUAAAACUCUGUUAUUGUACAAAUACCUGUAAUAUAAUAGUUGUUCUAACGGUUAAGAAAAAUCAUAUUUAUAUUAAUUAAAAAUAAAAUAAAAUAUUAAAAUUAAGCUAUGGUCCUUAUCUUCUUCUCCUGCUAUCGAAAUCGCGAUCUAUUUGCAUGUCUAUCUAUUAAGAGUAUUUUAGUCAUUUUAAUUUGAAACCGUUAACGUCGUUAGAUAACAUGGAUACAUAUGUAAAAAAAUAAAAAUAAAAAAAAAGAGGAUAGAAUGACAAAACAAGUGUUUUACGAAGGUAUAUAUACAAAUAUUAAUUUUGAAAAAAUAUUUAUAUAAAAUUUGAUAUUUAGAAAGUUAUUUAUGUAAAAAAUCCCUUUUUAUUAUACAUUUACAUCCUAUUUUUAACCAGGAAAAACUACUUGCAAGUUGUAACACAGAAAAAAGACUCUCCCCAGCGUCGUCUACUACAGCUCGAGAGGAGAGUGUCCGAGUGGGAGAUGUCCCUCCGCUCUCCACCAUGGCAAACCCUAGAAGGACCAGCCUCCAGCUCCACCAGCAAAACCCCACCCUCCCUUUCUCCGACCUUCCGCCGUCGCCGUCGCCGCCCUGCUCCUCCGCCCUAUCCGCCGUCGCCGUCUUCCUGAAGCGGCCGCAGGCCUUCCCCAUCCUCCUCUCCGUCUUCGUCCUCCUCACCUGGCUCUCCCUCCGUCUCCAAAGCCCCGGCGCCGCCGCCGUCCGCCUUCGCUCCCCUACCUCUCCCUCCCAGGCCCAGGGGCAGGGGGCCGAUAUCGAUGCCAAUCUGGUGAGGUUCAGUGCCGUGGAGUUCCCUUCUCAGAUCGCCAAGGACUGGAGGGGGUGGCUUCUCAACCCCGUCGUCGCGGCCCGGGAGGCCGGGAUCCAUGGUAAGUGCUCCCCGAAUCAGAUUUUUCUGCGUUUUUUUUGGUGCCUUCUGUUGUUUCAUUCGAAUUGUGGUCGUUUGAUGCGUGUUUUGUCCUUAUCUGAAUGUAUUAUGGUGUAUUCUCGUCCAAAUGUUCAUUUUUUGGAUAUCUUUCUUUUUGAAUAUUUAUUAUUGCUAGGUUGUGGAUGGAUUUUAUGGUUAGUUAAUGUGAUCUUUGGCUCAUUAUUGACCAAAAAAAAAGAUUUUUCAUUAUCGUCAAAUCUUUCAUCGCUUGUGAGCUUUAGGGCAUCAGUGAAGUUAGACCUCUGAUGUAAUGGAGUUGCUUGAUGAGUUCAGUUGACGAUGAAGACGGGUAUGCUUUUCUUUGAACACUAGAUAAAAAAUAGCAAGUAACCAUAGAGAUUUGAUAGUGUCUCAGUUCUUGGAAAUUGGAAAUGCCAAAAAUUGUGUAAAUUAGAAAAGGCAUUUGCAACAAAUGGAAGCAAAAAUAGCUAGAGAUUUUGGGUUGAAGACAUCUAGGUUUGGUUGGUUAAUUGAGAAAUUGGGACCAUAGGAUCAAGCCAGAUUAUUAAAAAGGAGAUACAUGUUUUAGCAUGAUAAUAUCCAUCUCAUCCUAGGAAUUACUAUAUGAUUAUGUAUCCAGCUCAAGCAAUAUGAUUAAUUCCAAUCGCUUCUGCACCUAUCAUUUGCCCUCGUGAUAAACCAAGCCACUUUGAGCAGCAAAGUUUGUUAUUUGUUGAUCAUGUUCAUCUUUUUGGUUACAUUGUCCUAGGAAACUUUUGGACAUUUCCUCAAGUUGAAUACCUCAUGAGUUAUCCAUCAAGCCUUCUCUAUGCUCUUGAAUUAAAAUUUUAAUGCAUUUUGAACAUUAACUGAUGCCUGGUGCUAUCAUUGUUCCAUGCGUAGUGCUUGUCAAUGUUGUAAGGAAUGGUAUUAGUGAUGAAUUAGUGUCUAGAAACAGAACUCUUACCCAUAGUGACUUCCUUAGAAGCCAUUUAAGUAGGCGCUGCUUGUUACAUGCAUAUGUUUAUCCUAAUAAUUUUGAACAAGAGAAAUAAGUUCAGGAGAAAAAUGGAGUGAACAAGUUUGUCCGACCAUUUAUAGUUUUAUUUUGGUUGAGAAUAAUAAGUCAUUUAUAAGGGUGCCUAUCAGCUUUUCUGAAAUCCCUCCUUUUACUCUUCCUUAACCUUUUUUGUUCUGGUGCCAAAAAGAUUGUUUAGUGGACUAAAGUGGGAUAAAUGGGUUUUAUUCGAGUCUCAUCUAGGUUAUUCAUGAACCAAUUUAGGCCUUGAGUUUUUCUUAACUGAAUAUUGGAAUGACUAAUCAUCCAUCAUUCACUGCGUGCUCUUCAUUGGAUUUUUCUUCGAAACUAGGAAGAACUUGUACUUUUCUUUCCCAAAUAUAUGUACUGCAGAAAGUUUUAGAGAAGAUGAUGGGCUAGACAAACAUUAAGUUUCACCUCCUCAUCGUCUUCCUCCUGGGUUCCUCAAUUGUGUAGAUAGAUGUCUGAGUUGCAAAAUGAAGAGAACUAUCCAAUUCUAUGAUCAUUUUUCAAUUCUUUGUAAAAAAUGUUGAGUCUGAUUUUUUUCUUUCAUUUCUCCACACCCCCACGGUCACCCUGACCCCCAAUAGAGGGAGUCAGAAUUAUUAAUUGGACUAUAGCAGGUCCAUGGAGUCCCGGAAAUGCAAAUAUUGUGCCAAUACAUGAUGACCAUGUCAUCAUCAUCAUUAUUCAAGUGUUUUCCCAUUAACUAUGGGAUUGGUUCGGGAGAAAAACUUGAAAUUGAGAUGACCUCACGGAAGUAUUGAACGGAUUUUAUGACUGGCUGCCAAAUUCACUUCAAUCCAAUAGUAAUGGCAUUGGAUUCUCGGCCAAGCAUAUUUGGACAAUAGAGAGACUGCCAUGAAAUAUAUAAAGCUAGUUGGUAGAUAGAGAGAUCUACCUCAGUUUAUGCUCAUGCAACCAAGGAACAAUCCUUCAAAUUUUUUUUAGAUUUUUGAAAGUCUAGAAGGGGGGUGGGUAAGAUGGACUACUUUUGAUAUGGCUGCCUUCAAGGCGGAUUAAGCCAAACAAGACACAAUGCCAUAAAUGACAAGUGAAAUAGUUAAAAAGAUAAAACAAUAGCUGGCAGUAUGAGAUAUGGAAGGAUUUGACAUGACAGGUUCAAUGGACACCACAGCACAUUAUUCUUCCCAAAUUUUCAUAUGUUUUAUUCAAUUUUGCAGUAUCUAUUUUGGAAAAUGCAUCAAAAGGCAAUAUGAAAAUUAAGAAAGAAGUGGAAAGAUUUUCACAAGUGCAAAGGAGAAAAUGCUUUUAAAUCUAUUUAUCAAGCUGAUGAGAGGUAGGAAAAGAUCUAAAAUCCAGAUGCAAAAGAAAAAGUCCUGAACAAAAGAAAUAUUUAAAUAAGUGGUUUUUGGAUUUCCUAAAGGGGUGACCUUUAGAUAAAGCCAUUCUACUUGCUUCCACCUCUCUCUCUCUCNNNNNNNNNNNNNNNNNNNNUCUCUCUCUCUCUCUCUCUCUCUCUCUCUCUCUCUCUCUCUCUCUCUUUCUUCUUUGUGUGUCUGUGUGCACUGGUGUGUGCAUGCAUGUGUGUGCAUUGCACAAGCUGUGCAUACCCAUAUGCUUGGGCUGUCUGAUGUCAAUUUGAUUUCUGUCCUUAUUGUAUAUUUUAUGUUGCUGAUGCUGCUGACAUCAUUAGGUGGGUGCUAGAGUAUUAAAUAUAAAACUGGCAGAUUGCACCAUAUCAUUAGCCCAUUAUGGCUAGGUAAAUUUUUGAGCUGUCUCAAGCAUAGUUGUCACUUUGGGAAAUAGGUGCAGGAAACAAUGCAAUAAGGGGAAUUGAGAAACAAAGGCUAGAGAAGUCCCAAGAAAUGAUGUCAGAAAAUCGGCCUAAAAAUUAUGAGGAGUGCUUGGGGAACCAUGACAAAACAAUAGCAAUAUCUUUAAGAAACUAUUCAACAGUUCUCUGAUUUCCCCCCCCCUUUUUUUGAAUAUCUGAUGAAAUUUAUAAUUUCUUUCCCUUCCAUUUAUGGGAAAAUGAAUCAACUUUGUUUCCCAAACACAUUUGUUAGGAGCUCAAAGUCCAUUAGAAUGUGUUUCAUAGUGUACCCCUUCAACUUCAGAGGCAGAAAUACAGGUAGCUCGCUGGUAACUUGGAGUCAAUUCAUAGACCUCAUGUACAUAACCAGUUGAGUUGCAUCUUGAUUAUGGAUACAUAAAUAAAUUGACUGUGCAUGUGAGUUACUGUGAUAUAAUUAUACAUUACAAAAAACAUGCAUAUGUUAAUAGCAUCCAAAUAUGCGUAUCUUGUAUAACUAGUUGAUUAUUUUUAAAUAUUGUUAAUUAGUAAAUAUAUAUUAUGUAGAUUAUACAUCUAAGUUGGCGGUUGGACACUUGAUCCAUGAGCCAUUAAAAAGCAGUUCUAGAAAUCCAUGCAGAUGACUAGGAAUACACCUUUCGAGCUAGUCUAGCAGGAUUCACUAGAUGAUGAACCCUUCCCUAGUGCUUAGCAGGCAUCCUCGAUGCCUUAUGACCGCACAUGACAAGAAGGCAACAUGUUAACUUGGUUGAUAACUUUUCCUGUUUCCCCUUCACCAACAAGGAUCCAAAUAUAUCAAAGAUUCAUCGUGCAUGCUAUAUCCAUAUCUUGCUGAUAGAGAUAUCUAUCUACAGGGGGUGCAUUAGAUUGUGCUUCGGUGCAUGUGGGACAGAUCCGACCUGGUGGUAUGAGGGGCAACCACCGGCAUAACAGCUGCAAUGAGACCUUUAUAAUUUGGGGAGCUGAGACUGUGUUUCGAGUAAGCUACAUUUUUAUCACAUACCUUCUGAUUCACAUAUUCAAUUAGAAAGGAAAUUGAAACAGCUUUUUUGUUGAAAAAUUUGAAAUACUUUUGUUAACAGCAUUUUUCGUCUCACAGCUGGAAAAUGCUCACGUAAAAGAUAAGGGCUAUGCAGAAGUUAGUAUUGGGGUUGAUGAGGUUGCCGUUGCUGCGAGUCCCAGUGGAACUGCUCAUGCUCUUAUUAACGUAGACCGUGUGCAGUCUACCUUUAUCUUGGGCUGUCAGGACUGUUUGAUCAACAACACCUCGACUACUGAUUAUAAUGUUUGGAAAGAUCUUUGAUGGAGCAUUGACAUUGUGAAGUAUGAGAUACCACAAACAGGACCUCAAUUGGAAGGGCUGAAUUGAAGGAAUUGUUCUCUCCAAGCAUGUGAUUGCUUAUACCAUCUUCUUGUGGUGGUCAAUGCAUUUGAUAGGAACAUGGUUUUUUCCAUCUCUUGCACAUAACUGAAAUAUUACCAUGAUGGUCUCCAGGUCAUCAUUACAUGUACAGUUGUAGAGCUACUUAGAGGUUCCAUUAAUAGUUUUGUGAUCUUUUAUACUUGAUUUAUGUAACAAGACCCUGGUGUUGAAAACAGUCACCACACCUGCGUGCAGUCGUCUCUAUUUACUUCUACAAGGAAAACAGUUUUUUCCUUGCGUGAAUUAACCUUAUCAAGAUGGCAUUCAUUGUAUUUGAUUUGAGUCAUAACACAUCAUUUUGGAUGGACACGUCCCCAUAUUUUUCCAUACCUGAAAUUUUUUGCUUUCAUAUAAGAUGAUCUGUAGCAGAAUUAGAUUCAGGCCAACCUUAAGCAACUGGACCUAAGACAGUUUGUGAAGCGGCCACGAUGAUCACAAGGUUUCAAUGAGUGAACUGACAGAAGACAGCAAGACAGAUCUCGAUAUUUCUCUAUUGCUAUAAGUUGUGCAUCUUUCUACCCUCACUUGAUUGACAAAUGCUAUACUUGCCAAACUCUUCUUGCUCCACUCUUAUCACAUUAACUAGCGUAGGAUGGUGGCUAACAUUAAUCAUAAGGAAUAUAAGGAACACACUUACUUCGGAAAUGGUACGCAAACUAACACAAGGGUAUGAUUUCUCAUACUGCUCCCUCUUUUAAGCCCAAGAAUGCUUUGAUUAUCUCCGUCCUAGACGUGAAAGCAAAGAUGAUUCAACCCAUACCUUCCAAUAGAAGUGGAUUCCUUCUCUUUGAGACUUGGUUCAUCAAAACCAUCCAAUAUAGGAGCUCUAGUCCAGUUUGCUUGUGUCUCGCUUAGGCGUGGAAGCAAAGAUUGGGAGCAACGUUCGUAGCAGAAUUACCUAAGAAGAAAACUUAUUCAUUACUUCCACGCAAGACAUCCAUCCAAAUAAACAUAUAGAACAACGACUACCAACCAAAAAAAAAAAAAACAGAUAGAUCGACAGAUACCUACUUAAAGGUUAGACCGUUGCUUCCUACGCAAUUACUGGAGUGCCAUCUGAGGGGCUUGAGUUUCUAGGAACUGGUCUUUUUUGUUUUUAUGAAUUCUAGGGACUGGUUUUGAAUUUGGUCUAGAAUCAGCUCAAUUUUAUUUCAUUUUGGUUUGACCAUGCCAAGAUUUAUAUCUCGUAUUGAUAUUGAGAUUCGAAUAGGCUUCUGAUCCUUCCGUGAAAGGAGAUAAAUUUCAUGAGUCUUUUAUCCAAUUUAAUCACAAUUAACCAUUAUGACCAAGUCCAGCUAUAGCUUAAUCUUGGCAUGUUCAGGCCUAGUAUGCCUAGUGUACACUGUACCACAGCUAGCUUAUAAGUGGUAAUAUCUGGGAAAAACGGGAAAAGUUUAGGGGAUCUUGCAUUGGAUUGUGUGACCAAAAGAAAAAGAAAAGAAAAAAAGGUAAAUUCGUUGCUCUAUCUUAAAAUUCAUACUUAAUUGUGAUCUAUGUAUGUAGUAAUAUCAAUAGGCAAAAUUUAAGCUACCAUGAUACAAUGCGAAAUAGAGUCUACUCCAUUCAAAACAUAUUUCAUAUAUAAAUAUAUGCCUUUUUUUUUGUAGGUACAUCGGCGGCUCACAUCUGACGAGUGUGAAGACGGUCAACAAAAUCAGAAAACAAAAUGCUGCGCAAAGGCAUAGGCACAGCUCCAUGGUCUAUUCAGAAAAAGCCUUCCGAAUGAUGAGCCACGAAGAAAGCAAUCCAAUCUGCAGCAUCUUUCGCCUUCCGAUAUACGUACGUGGCUUGGUAGGAGUCGGCCUCCCCCAAAGCCCUGCGGAUAUCGUAGAGCAGCGGCCGGUUCUCAAUUGAGCACCCUUCUUUCCGGAUCCAUUCGAUCACCGUGGUCAAGUUUUCCUCGAGAAGAAUGCGAUUCGCAUGUAGUACCCACCUCGUAUAGGAGACACUCUUCCAGGCCGCUCGCGGGGGAGGGCUAAAAAGGCUCUUGACUUCGAACCCACUUAGUUUCAGAUUUAACUCUUGGGUACGGGUCAGAGCCGAACCAAAUGGCUUACAUGAAAAUUUUCAAUCCCACGAGGACAGACUUGGAUAUGCCCAUUAACAAAGCCACGUAAUUGAGAAACUACAAGCAACUGUCCACCUCUAUAAAACUCUCCUUCUCCCAAGCCUGCGAGCUUGUCUUGCACCACUCAAAACAAAUUUAAAGAGUCUCAUAACCUUCUCCAGCUAGCGUGUGUGAGAUUCAAUUCAAUUCUUCAAGGAGAAUGCAGGAGGGAAAGAAGAGGUUGGCAACAUUGGUGGGGUGCAACUACCCCAAUACUCAGCAUGAGCUCCAUGGCUGCAUCAACGACGUCCAUGCUAUGAGCGACGUCCUCGUUGCCCGCUUCGGCUUCCACCGCAACGACAUACUCAUCCUCACCGAUGCCUCCGGCUCGCCGCUGCUCCCCACCGGUGCCAACAUCAAGAGCGCAGUCGCUGCCAUGAUUGCCCGAGCUGAGCCCGGGGAUGUCCUCUUCUUCCACUACAGCGGCCAUGGCACCCUCAUCCCCCCCGUCAAGCCGCACCAUAGCCGGCAUGCUCAUGACGAGGCCAUCGUCCCUUGCGACUUCAAUCUCAUCACCGGUACGUAUCACCACCAACCCCCACCUUUUCUUUUUAGCCAAGGUUUUUUCUUACCACCUAAUAAUAUACGUCUCUAUUAACCCGACACACAAAAAAAAAUACCUGCUAAUUACUUGAGAUAGAACAGUAAAAAUAUCAGCUAUUAUUUGUAUUGGAUAAUAAUCGUCUUAAGGAGUGGUGAGCCUAGCUAUGAUCUUGUGCAUGUAGGUGAGAGCCACCUACAAGCGACGUGAGGCAUGCACUCCACUCUUUUGCAGUGGAGUCAUGUGAGUUUUAGAAAGCGAGAUCCAUAUAUAGUGCAUGGAGGCUGGUUUUGCAUGUAUGCAUAUAUAUAUUGGUGAUAGGCAGGUGCCUCUUAAAUUGUUCAUUAUAACAUUUUUACAAUGCGUAGCUUCCAUUCAUGAUCAUUUCUAACCAAGUUUGUCAAUAGUUGGUGUAUUACAAAACGCAACUCUUCCAAAUGUAAGCAUUAUAAUCACAUGCAAGCUGAUUUCAUAGAUGUCGACUUCCGGCAACUGAUCGACCGCCUGCCGGCAGGAGCGAGCUUCACCAUGAUCUCCGACUCGUGCCACAGUGGUGGCCUCAUCGACAAAGAGAAAGAACAAAUCGGCCCGUCGACCACCAUCGGCCUCACUGUUCUUCCACAGCGUCCAAGAAUCAUCCCAUUCGACUCCAUUCUCGACCACCUCAGCUCUCUCUCCGGCAUCGACUCGCCGCACGUCGGCGACCACCUCUUGACCCUCUUCGGUGCUGAGGCCAGCGCCAAAUACUCGGAAAUAUCCAACCUCUUGGAGCCUCUAAAACCAGACGACGGGAUCCUUCUGAGUGGGUGCCAAGCCAAUGAAACAUCAGCUGACAUGAGCCCGGAGUGUGGAUCAGGAGAAGACAAGGCUUAUGGGGCUUUCAGUAACUCUAUUCAAAUGGUGUUGAAGGGGCAUGAGGGAGUUCUUAGCAAUAGAGAGCUGGUGACGCGUGCACGGGCUUUGCUACGUUCGCAAGGGUUUCUUCAGCACCCGUGUUUGUAUUGCAGUGAUAAGAACGCGGAUGCACCCUUUCUGUGGCAGCCGGAGGGGCCGCUGCGGUCAAGUAUGUGAGGUGCUGUGGGUGACACAGAGAGAGUGGGAUUGGAUCAUUGGAUGGGUUGAUUUGUUUGAGAGCGUAAAAAAACUCUUCCUGUAAGUGUGAAUAAGAAAUGUAGUGAAGACUAUCUGAUUAGAUACCAUACCUCAUUUGAGAUUUACUGCAACAGAGUUGUUGGGUUUAUUGAAAACUAAUGAAUAGACUCAAAACUGAAGCUGGGAUGGUUCGCUUGACCUAAAUAGCAGGGAUUUCUGAAAAAACAUUGAGUGAAUGCUAGAAUAAAGAAUAGCCCAGCAUCCAAACAAUUCUUCACACAGCACAAUUCCCAUUUCAAGUCAUAGAAGCAUAUGAUGUUCUCCAACUUGAAGAUAUCCUGCCAAAUAUAUUUUCUCAAGAAAAUUUCAAUGUACUAAUGAGUGCGUUUUCUUACNNNNNNNNNNNNNNNNNNNNGUUAAAAAUUGGGGGAUUGUAGGGUUCGUUGUUAGCCCGGGGUAAAACAACGAGUUGGGUAGUGCACUCGCAAAACUACCGGACUGUAAUCGCUGAUUAUAGUGGAAAUUCCCAAAGGUGUUUGGGGAGUAGAUGUAGGAGCAGUGGAAGCUCCGAACCACUAUAAAUCUUUGUGUUUGCGAUUGACUGUUCUUAUAACUCUAUCUUUACUUUAGCACAUACACUUGUGUGUUUUGUUUUAAUUAGACAAAAAGUUUUAAAACACCCAAUUCACCCCCUCUUGGGUGACCAUCUCUGGGCAACACUCUUUUUGUUAACCUUCCUCUUAAUUGUCUAAACCUGUCUUAAACCCAUUUUUAAGCAUCUCCUUCAAGACAUAUAUAUAUAAUUCUCUUCUUUUUAAUUUGAUCCUUGAAAUUAAUCACAGUAAUCAAGUCUUUUCUUUCUUGAGUCUAGUAUAUAUAAUUGGUGGCGUGAAAAAUUUAGCAACUAAGAUUAGGUGGCAAGCCAAAGGAGCAUCGUGGAACAUGGUGGAGCCUUUAUAUGUGUGUGAUUCACGUUAGGGAUGUGUACUGGAGACGAUUGACAUCACCUACUAAGAUUCAAUGAUGUCACAACAUAUGUUGAAAGAUAUAUGUUUGGAAGUUUUAAUCUUUUUCAUCCAUCAAUCAAUUCACGAGUUCCAUGCUGAAAGGCAUGUGGUUGAAAUUCUUAUCUUUUAUCUCUAUCAAUCAUUUCAUGAACUCUAUAUUCUUUCAAUUUUGAUAAAUAAAUCAAGAAAUUGCAAAUCCUACUAAAUUACCCUAGAUUUCUGUGUUAGAAAUGCCUCAAAAGACUCACACAAGUGAGAAAAAGAAACUAUUUAUAGUUGGAGUGAUCGACACCAUCCUGCAAUUGGACUUCCUCUCACCCCUACUCUUUGAAAAACAAACAUCACAUCAUUUGCAUAUGUAAUGUUUUUUUCUAUAAUAAAAGACUUCAUUAUGUCCCGGAGGCUAGAAUUUAGGCUGGAUUUGGACAGAUUAUUAGAAAAUAUAAGAUAGAUGGACCAAUAGACCUAAUUCCUAUAUAAUUUUUAGCUGAAUCUUAUGGAAAUAUCUAAACAGAUCCUAAAAAAAAGUUGCAUCGGCACUUUUAUUUUUAUUUUUUGAAGUAGCAAGCACAAAUUCCUUAUUUCUUUUUCGUAUUUGUUUUUUUGUUUAUCGUAGACAGAUCGAUAGGCAAGCACAAAUAGAUAAUGCAACGGGAGGAAGAAUAGGUUUAAAAUUGCCACUGCUUAUUAGCAUGGAGUGUAGCAUACAAAUGCUUUCGAGCUUCUUGGGUUGACUAACUUAUUUCAAGUAACAAUCAUUGAACUAAGUUAUUAAAUAUUAAUUGUAGAGAGAUGUUACAUAGCCGAGCAUGAAUUCUAUAUAAUGCAUAGAUUCAUAAAACAUUGUAUUGUACCAUGCUCGAUGGCCGUUAUUAGAGGAUAGAUGGCUAUCAUAGAUUUUAUAUAUCAUAUAUACAUAUUGCUGCUAAUAUCUAUUUAUUUUUUAAUGAUAGCUAUUGAGUGCUUGUAUCGAAACGGUUAGUUUGAGCUCUAAGCAUGGGCUCCUGAGGUCAUUAUCAAAAAGCGGAGGGGUUUUGGGUAAAAUGAAGGGGGCCGAUGGCUUUUCUGUUCACGAACGAACCUCACGCGGAGAGGCCAAAGCAUAGACUACUGAGGUCAUUGUCAAAAAGUGGAGGGGUUUUGGGUAAAAUGAAGGGGGCCAAUGGCUCUUCUGUUCACGAACGAACCCCACGCGGUGUGGGGCCUCUCCGCGUGGGAAUCGCGUCUUGUGGGACCCACACCGGAUUAAUUAAUUCAAUUAAUUACAUGACUGUUAAUGGAAAUUAAUUCGAUAGAAUCAAGUUAUUAAACUUUAAUAUGUCGGACAGGGAGUAACGAGCGGACCACCGGUGCGGAAUCCCGACACUAAAGUUACCGCGAAUAAUUAGAUCAUUGCCGCUUUCUUUUUCGCCCCGUCUCCACCCUGUUUUCUCUUCGCUAAAUUACGAUACUAUCCCUGAUUCGUCUUUAUUUGCCCGACACCUAUCAAAAGCAAUGUCAUCAAAUUUUUAAAUGACAAGAAUGCCCAAAGAGCACGACAGUCGACCUUAAACUAUUAAAAUUAUUACUAAAGAAUUAAAAAUUUGUUCCUAUUUGAACAAGGCAAUAUCCCAGCAAUCGCAUUUUUAUUUUUUAAUAUUCAAGCUUUGCAUGAUGCAUCUCCAUGCUUCUAGUACUUGAAUUUCAGUUAUUUAUCUUAAAUUAAGAAUAGAAAUUAAGGAUUUAUUCAAUUAAUUUUUAGAUUUUUUUUUGAUUUAAUUUCUCUUCCAUAAAAAGUGAUGUUUAUAUACUUAAUUUAUCUUAUAUAUGCAUAGAUAAUAUAUCAUUGAACUCUACUCAACUUGUUAGCAUAUAUUUAUGAACUACAAAGGUCAUAUAUAAACUACAUAUUUAGUGCAUUUUAUACAUUAAAUUUUUAAAAAAUAAGAAAAAUUGAGUAUUCAUGAAUACUACAUACAACCAUUUAAACGAGGAAACCAUUUUAAAACUAGAUUUAAUUGGUAAGUUGAUUGAUUGGAGUUUUAAGUCGGUCAAAAAUUAAUUAAUUAGUUUUAAGAAUAAAUAACUAGAUAAUUUUGUGGUAGGGAGCGAAAAAUAAACAUUUAAGGGGGGGUAAUUUCGUCAUAACAUAUUUAUCGCAUUGAACAACGUCAUUACGUCCGGGUGGAGAGCAUCAGAUGCCGAGCGCGUCCUCGCCGCUAUAAAAGCCACCACUAAUUUCCCCGAACCAAAAGCCACAAAACGCUCUUCGCCUUCUCUCCACAUCUUUAACGCCUAAUCUCUCUCGAUCUCGAUCUCUCGUAGAAGAAGAACGAUGGCCGAUCAGCUCACCGACGACCAGAUCUCCGAGUUCAAGGAGGCCUUCAGCUUGUUCGACAAGGAUGGAGACGGUCAGAUUCCUUCGAUCCUCGUUUGUUUUAUCUACUCUCAUCAUCUUGAUUUCUUUUGUGGUUUUGAUCUCGUUUUGCUUGAGACCAGGGGUUUUCUUUGGCCAGAUCGGGGAUCGGUUAGGUUCGAAUCGAAAUCGUCAUAGAGGGCUUCGCUGUUAGAUUAUUUUGUGGAAUCGGAUGCUUUUUUUUGGGUGGGUGGGGUGGGUGGGGGGGAUAAAUAGUCAUUGAUUUUUUAUUCGUUAGUUUGCUUUUUGGAUUUUUUUUUUUGAUUGAGUUUUCAAUGAUCAUGAUCGGUAUUGAUCUCUAAUUCUUGUAUAAAUGAAUCUGUAUUUGGAUAAUGAGCUUCCAAGUUCAUUGAGUAUUUGCUAAUUGAUUGAUUUCCAUCUUGUUAUGAUGCGGCAAUUAUGAUGUUUUUUUUCUGAUUCUUAGGCUUUAUAUUGUUGAUAUUUUAUGCGGUCCCGAUGAUUCAACGAAUAGAGCAUGAUAUUGAAAGAUUAUCACAUGUACUUGCUGUUGAUUUUAUAUCUCCGAAGUUUUUUAGACGCGGAAGUUUGUUUCUCCUCUCUGUUAGUGGACGCAAACAUUAGCUAGUUCAUACGAUUUAAAAGCACUAGUUUUUCGACAUUCAUGUUUCAGUAAUUGUGUGCUUCAUGCUAGGUAGGCAAGCUAUGGUUUUGUGGUCCUCGAUACUUGGAAAGCUAUGCUAUUGUUUGAAUUCAUCCUUUUUCUUUUCUUUGUUUUUGUGGAAAAAGUUGGGCCUCGUCCAACCAAUUCAUUAAGAUAAUAAAACAGGAAACCAAUUCAUUCUUUUUUAUUGGAUUUAUAUACAAAAAAUAUGUCUGUUUCUGAGUAGAUAUACAACCUUUUGAAUCCUUCUAGUUACAGGACUCUGAAUGAAUGAUAAUGUGAUUGCUGUUACACGAUAUCAAUCUUUAGCAGUCAGUUCUGGAGUGAUUUGUUCUCAUCGUGACUACAGUAUCUAAGAGUUGUUUGAAAUACAAUGAGUUUGAUCUAGCCUGUUUGACAUGUCUUGGCAUGUGUUGGUCAGAAGUGCACCUUCCAGCUCAAAUUUGUUCUAUCUGUCUUAUUUUUAUUACCCACUAUUUGCGAAACUUGUAAAUUGUAGCUUUAGUUUCCAUAGCAUAUUUUUGGUUGUUAAGGUUAUUUUGGGAGUACUUGCUACCAUCUUAUUAUAUUAAAAGGGAAAGCAGAAUUUGCAAUGCAAGGUGCAGGAUUGAGCACAUCGUUGUCCUGAAACUUAGACAUCUCGUGAAAAAUAUACUUUGAUGGGGCCAUAAACUUUUAAGAAGGUUUUCCUAUAUUAAUAAAUGUAUAGUCAAAAAGUAAUUUGAGUUCUUGGUGGAAGCAAUAACGGAAAAAAAUUAACAGUUCCCGCUCUCUAGUGGUUGGUGGAGUGUGUUCAUGCUAGUUUCUUGCCUCUUACUGGAGAUAGAUAGUGGGAGUUUGCCUUGAAAUGCAGCCCUAAAUUUAACCAUAGUUUCUCAAAAAUUGUUAUAUCCAAUCACCCUAUAGGAUACAUUGACUAAUGAAAAGUAGCUUUGAUGAUAUAAUAGGGCAAAGCAAAAUAAAAUGUAUUUUUCGUUGCUGACUUACAUGCUAUGUUCAAUCAAUGGAAGCAUUGAUAAUUGAUUGGUCAUUAUAUCUAUUGUAAAUGUUCCAUUACUUUUCAAGGAUUUAGCGUGUUGACGCGGAUCAUUUACACUUGUACGCCUAGUAGUUCAUUAUAAGGAAAUUAAUAAUAUGAAAAUAAAUGUGUCAUAUAUGUGAGUACACGUAUAUUAGCUAUAUUUUUGAAAGUAAUUAGGCUGAAAAAGCUCUCAUUCUACAUUGAUUACUUUGUGCAUGAUUUUAUUGCAUAGGCAAGGUUCUCUAAAACGUUAAAAGAUGUAUUUUGCCCAAACAUUUAGUUGUUCAAUAUGUUUUUACUUUUUGGUUUUUAAAUUUCUUCAGCUUGGAGUUACUCUGCAAAAAGUAGUUGAAGUCUAAGGCUACAUCAUUUUGAGUAUUAAAACAAUUUAGCAUUUGGUGUUGUAUAAUUGAAUCUGACUUAUGAUAGUUCAUGUGGUAAGUAGUAGGCUUGGCUAUCUUUUGAGGCUUUUGGUGUAGUUCUUUGUAUGCAUUUACAAAUGUUAAGGUACCUGGAUUUUACACUCAAAUAAUUCUUUUUACAAUUCUCUCUCUUUCUUUUUUGAUUCUCUGCUUUUCCCCCUAAUAUCUCUAUUUUAUUUGUGCCAUUCCGUGGAUCCUCAAUGUCGACCAUUUGUUAGUUUAUGAGCUGGUUUUCUAUAUGUCUGUGUAGCAGACGGUGCAAGCAUAUCUUUCUUGAAAGAUCAUCUUUUCAGCAUCCAAUUUAGCUUAGGGUGUGCUCUCUGAAAGUAAACUGUAGCAGAAAGUAAUCGCAUAAACAUUAGCUACUUGAACAUGGAGUGUGGGAUGCUGCUUUUUGCUUUUAAACACUUGACUCCAUGAUCACAAAUUUUCUAGUUGGCUCCAUGGUUCAUCCAAAGUGAAAGCAAGCAUGCAGGCGAAGGAAGCCACUAUUACACCCAAAUUAUAUUUAUUGUGUGGGAUCUCAGUAUUGCAAAUUUAUUCUCUUCAAAGAGAUAUCUGUUUUCAAGAUAUUUUUUGACACGAAAGUUCAAGAUGCAAUAUUCGGAUUACUUCACGAGGUUUAAUGCAUGAUGUUUCAGAUGAAGUGUUACUAAAAUUGUCAUGGAAUUUGCUGCCAUGUUAAUGUAAUACUUUUGGGGCAUUUGAAGAAGAUCUAUGCAAUUUAUUUACAUACAUCCAACUGUUCGGGAUUGCUAUUAUUUUGAUUAAUAUAGACAAAAUAGCAUUAGGUUAGACAUUCUUGGUUUUUCAUUGAAUAAUUUAUUGGACCGUGUUUUCUUUUUCAAAUAUUUGACAUGAAGAGCUCGUAGCAGUCAGAUUGGAUAAGAAAUAUGAUUAUGAUUAUUUGGUGUCUUGCUCAAUUUUAAAUAUGAUUAUGCAACCCGAGAAUGCGGAAUCUGAUAAUGAUUAAUUACAUUAGCAUUUGGAGCUUUAUCUUGUUGGUUGUCUAUUUACAUAUGCUUGAUGUGUUGUGGCAAAGGUAAAGUAUAUGAUCAAGCAUAUUGUCAAUUUUGCGUAUGCGGGUACUUGGGUCUGAUGUUUUUUCAUGCAACUGAUUGUGAUUCAUCAUUUUAAAAGCGAGAUGAACUAUCCAGAGCUUUUUCUCCUAGUGCAACCAGCACAUGCAGAUUAUAGCAAUGCGGCUUAGUGCCACACCUUCUUGUUAGAUACUUGAAGCUUAACAAACUUGUUGGUUUCUUUAUCUUGCAUAUACUCCCUUUCUCAUCAUUGAUUAUUGAAGUAGGUGGUGGUUGCUAAUAAGAAUCUGCAAUUUAUGAUAUAGGAAGAUUAGGCAAUGACCAUCCUCCAACUCCAGAAUAUUAUGCUUAUAAAUGCUGAAAUAAAUUUGCAAAGCUGUGAACUUUGCAAGAGUUGGAUUUGAGGAUUCAAUAAGGCGUUGUCAAAGAUUUUAUAUUUGAUGCACAUUAGAAAUAUGUUUCUAUAUUUGAUAGAUUUUGGUUUAAAUUUUGUUUUUGGAUCAAGCAUCUGCAUUGAGUGUGUCUGAUUUCAUUCUACUUUAUUGGAUGCUGCUCUAUGUGGUCUCUUUCUGCCCUCUGAUGGGUAUCUUCAAAGCAGAACUUAGGUCAGGUCACCUAAAUGUUACAAAAACCAUAUUUUAGGAUGCUAGUAAGUGGUCCAGCCUGAUAAUAGUAUUUGAGUUCUGCUACUGAUAGAUGAUUCAUGCCUUGCUCUCUGAGCUGGUAUUAUUCGCCUGAAAAUGCACCAGAAAAUGCAGUCCUUUUGUCAGCAUCCACACAGUUCUAUUUUUUUAGACUUUGCAGCAUCAUAUGUCUUGCUCCAUUUUUUAACAUUUGCUUGUUUGUCAAUUUUAACUGAUAAUUGUUAUUUGGUCAUUUGCUGGUUCAUCAAUUUACAUUUGUGCUACAUGCUUUUAUUUGUUUAUUUGUUUACGAUGUAGACAUGCUGCAAAAAUUUCAUUUUAGCAAUGCUACAUUAACUUCUGUUAAAGUUAAGAAAACUGACAUGCUUUUGAAUAUUAGUUGUGCUACGUGCUAUUUUGAUGUGUUGAAUAUUGCUGAUGGGUAUUAAAAUUCUACAGGCUGCAUCACAACCAAGGAGCUGGGAACUGUUAUGAGAUCACUGGGGCAGAAUCCUACCGAGGCAGAGCUUCAAGACAUGAUCAACGAGGUAGAUGCAGAUGGAAAUGGUACAAUAGACUUCCCAGAGUUCCUUAACCUGAUGGCUCGCAAGAUGAAGGACACCGAUUCAGAGGAGGAGCUAAAGGAGGCGUUCCGAGUUUUUGACAAGGACCAAAAUGGGUUCAUCUCAGCUGCUGAGCUUCGCCAUGUCAUGACCAACCUCGGGGAGAAGCUUACUGAUGAGGAGGUCGAUGAGAUGAUCCGCGAGGCUGAUGUUGAUGGUGAUGGCCAGAUCAACUACGAAGAGUUUGUCAAAGUCAUGAUGGCCAAGUGAGAAAUCCCCACUAAAAACCUUUUUUAUGAAAAAGCAGAACAUUCAUGGCAGAUAAGUAGUAUUAUGUGAUUCCCUUCAUUCCCUGUUUUGUAGGUAGUAGUAUUUAUUUGGUUUAGUUGUAGUUGUGGAAAGUAAAAAGAACCUGGGGUACCGUCUUCUGGCUUGGGUGGUUUGUCUUGCACUGUGUGUGUUUCUGUGAAUUUCUGUUUCCUCUUCGUGUCAUCGUCUUCAGAGCUUGGGCUUGGAUCUUGAUGCAGGAUCCCCUUUUUUUUCUAUUUUUCAAGUUAUUGCAAAACUAGCUACAUGGUGCCAUCUUCAAUGACUCAAAUUUCAUUGAAAUCAUUUUUUAACCCUUGUA